rnacentral:lncRNA from 1 species
CACGUAUCCCCUGUUUUGAUAUCCAAACCUAAUCAGACGUAAGAAUCCUCAAACAUAUCUUUUAUAUCACUGGGUAGACCUUUAAGUUUUGUCUUUCCUCUAUAAGGAUUCAUAUCGGAGUAUGAAUGGAUAGGUGUAGACCAAAAUGGUAUAAAUGAUACUGUAAAAUUCUAAAACAUUGCAAAGUUAUAAAUAAAGGAGUGGAAGCAUGCCUUUGAUUUGUCGAUUGGAUCCGAUGAGCUGCUAUCGUUACUCUUUGAUGAUGACCAAGCUUUAUGACUUUCUGGAGUUGAAAUUGCUGAACCCUUUUCCUCUAUAUACGAGAGAUCGGUUGAAAGAAGAAAUUUUGUUGGGAGACUCACCUGGAAUAUGAGAACAAAAUCUACCUAGGAUUAAACAAGGGCAAAAUCUACUAAAACACAGAACAUAAAGAUAAAAGGUUGGUUCCACAACCUUAGUGAUCGAUAAGGAUGGAAAAGAUAUUCCGACCAGAAAGCCGAAAGUUACUCCGAAAAAUGCAGUUGCAAUGAUCUUCAUUCCAUCUUUUGAUUUCCUACUAAUGGAACUGAAAUAACAAAAACACAAAUUCAAUUAAGGUUCUCUUCACCUCUAAAGAGCACAAACCAAAUUAGUCAGUAACCUUCAAAGAAUUAUGAAAAUAAUUUAUCGAGACGAGAUCUUGACCUGCGUGAAAAGAUUCCCAUCUCUUCUCUAAGCUUCUGACUGUAGUUUCACAGCGAAAACGUGCAGCAUGCAGUGCAGGAGCCACUCACUACUCCAAAACUCAAAGGCCUCUCCUGACAGUGAAGAAGCCAGGAACCUGCAAUGGUUAAGACCGUGAGUCGUGAUCUAGAGCAGCAGAAAUGAGGUUUACGAAGAAGACACACACAUGGCAAGACAGACAAGGAUUUGCCUUUUUAAAAUGGAAAAGUCAUCCACCACACUUUUUAAAAUUCUUUGUCAAAAAGGUGAGUCAUUAUCGUAAAACCUACAGAUGAAUACAAUAUAGUGCAUCUAAACCAACCAUGAGAGGAACAAAAAAUAAAGCUUUAAUACCAAACUAUUGACCAAGACAACUAGUAUGAGGAAUACAAAUCUAAAAAAAAGUCAAAAAACACACACGUUUACUUCCAUUAGAGAUCAUUCCACUCCUACGAUCACAAUUGCAAGCAAAAUGCUAUCAACAAGCAAGAGUUCAUGCGCUUCAAUCACAGAACAUGGAACUACAAAGUCGUCUUAUACAGAAACAGAACAGUUUGCUUAGAUUGCAAGACAGGAAAAUAAACAAUUCAAACCAAGGACUAAGACAGCUCAAUUUCCUCUGUAUAAAAAUCACCUUUGAUUAAACCAACACUAGCAGUAAAAUGUUGAAAUCAAUCCCAAGCAGCCAUUAAGACUAAUUACUAAAGAUACGUGUUUCAACAUCAAGAGAAACAAAUGGUACCGAGAUGACAAUUACCCGAAAACCUGUUACACUAAAAUUCUCAAAAAUUUAUCCGAUUACGAUUGAAACAAACAAGAAUACAAUGAUUUUCGUUUUCUGUCAUCACAUAAAAAUCGAUGCGAACCUGGGUUAAUCAAAUAAAAAAGGCACAGAUCCCGAGAACCAGUGAAGCACGAGAAAAUCGCUUCUUCAACACGAAGAAAAACAAACCCUAAAAUUCCUUCUUUUCCCCAAAGACGCACACAAAACAACGAAGAGGUGUAAAACCCCGUGAUCGCCUCUCGUCAAGAGACAAACCCAGAAAACGCCAAAAACGUGAGAGGAAAAAUCGAAACGCGUUUUUCGAAUCAAAGGAGUGAAAUUUCUUGAAACCCUUAUCGACCCUUGUUGUUUAAGGAAAAUUUCAAAGCAGGCGUCGUAGGUUUUGGUUUGGUGACCACAAGGAAUUUUCUGGCGUAUAUUUAGGUGCAGGGAGAAAGAAAACCGAAGAAACGAAGAGCUUCAAUAAGCUCAAAAUUAAGGAAAAGAAAUGGUGAAAUUGAAAAAAAUCGAAAACCUGAAAAACGACAGCGUUUUCGAAGAAGUGUCACGAUUUAAUUGGCUUUUGACUCAAAUGCGCGUAAAAGUAAGCAGCAACGACAAAUACGAUUCAUAAAGGACCGACACUACACGCAUAUCCGUACUGUGCAAACAUCUAAUGGUGCCAAUAUAAAUUAAUGUUUUCAUAAUUUGGACAUGUGAAUGAGAGAAAUCAUAUCAAUGAAAAAACAAACAAUUUUUACAAAUUUUGAAUAGUGUCAAUUUUGUUGCAAAUUAUUUAGGAAAGCACAAUUAGUGAGAUCUUUCCGAAAAUCACGCAAGAAUUUUACCAUUUUGCAAGACAAGAAUGAAGAAUCCAAGAUGGUGCUCUAGAAGAAAGCAACAAAAACGCAAGAUACUGAUAAUAGUAAGUGAAGUAGUUUCUAACCUUUAAAGAAAUGUGUAUGAACACGUAAACCAAAUAAACACUUUUUGUAUUUACUUUUGUGCACAACUUUGUAUAAAUAGAGCGUCGAAUGUAUGACAUUGCUAUAAUGUAUCUUACGGGUUAUAAAAUUGAUGAAUUUAUAUUUUUUGGUCAACAUUGCUAAAAUUAAUGAGGUUUGACUAAUGUAUAUAUGCAAAUAUACGGUUGCCUAACUAUGUAAUAAGGAAAGUGUAAAAUUAAAUUUCGUACCAAAGUAACCAAACUGAGGAGUCCACUUUCUUUAAUAAAGAGGUCCCCCAAGUUUCCUUCAUUUGCUUUUCCAUAAAAUGCGGUUAAGUAAAUAAUAUAAUACAAUAAAAUUUUUAUAAAUUAAUAAUGUCGAAAUCAUGAUAUUUUAUUAAUUUAUCGAGAUAUUAAUUUGUAGAGAAAAUUAUUUUUCAUCUAUCUUAUUUUAAAAUUUUCUUUCAAAUAAUAUUAUAUUUAAGAAUUUAAACUCAAAUGUUUAUAAAAUUAUAUGCACAAAUUUAAAGUUAUGAUUACUAAUUUUUUUUUUCAACAACCUAAGCAUCUAUAGCGGUUCGACAAGCCAAAUCGAUGGUACCGAGUUUACAUAGAUCACGUCUUGCGGGUAGCCACGAGCACUUUUUGCAAGAUUGUCCACCUUCGAGUUCUUUUCGCGGGAAAUAUGUGAUAGCUGGAAGAAAUCAAAUUUGUCAUUCACAUUCCCAAUUUCCUCCAAGUGUAGAGCAAAAGCAGGUCAUUCUUCAAAUGUAAACACUAUCUUCACCAACUCUGAAAAUUCUGUCGCAAAAGCUACUGGCGUCCUCUCGUUUGCAAGCAUACAAUGCAUAGCCCAAAUUAGAGCUUUUGUUUCCGCAUGCAAUAGUGUAAGACUGCGUCUUACAUUCUGAGCACCCAUAACUCUUUCCGUAUUCUCUUCAUGAAAAUAGUACCAUCCUAGUCCCGUUUUUUGUAUCCGUAUCUUUCCAAGAACCAUCAAUAUAACACCACCAUCUGUCAUAUCCUGUGGGAUUAGCCAAUGUCGUUAACAUACCAUUUCCAGUGGAUGCUGGGUCCUGGUCCGUUCUAUGGGCCUCCUCCCAUAGAGUCGUUUCUGCUUCCGCAAUCUUUAAAGUUAUCUGUGGGUCUAUAUCCCUAUCUGAGUACACUUUCUCAUUAUGUGCUUUCCAGAUAUACCAUGUAAUCUAUGAGAAUUGUAUAGUUUUUAUUACAUUGGGAAGUCUCCAAAAUAAAUAGUCCCAGUUUGAGAAAAUUGAUGUUCCCAAGAAAUAAAUAGUCUCAUUAUGAUUACUAAUCAUAACAAUUGAAAUAGAUUACUUAUUUAUUUAUUUAUAUUUGUUCGUUGUGGAUUGAAUUAUCUAUGUAAGAAUAUAAAUGUUCAAUAGUACAAAUUUAUAAAAUAUAAUGUUGGUGCUAAAAUUGAAGACAAUAUCAUAAUAUAUUUCAAAACAGUUACGCAUAAGAAAAUCGAUUAUCACAUCUAAAUUAUUUCACAAAUUUUGAAAAAAAAAAAUAACAUUAAAAGUUAUUGAUGUAAAUAAGUAAAGAAAAUGAUUUUCAAUAAAAUUUUAAACUUAAAUAAAAACAAACAACACAUUAAUCAUAUUUUCGUAUAUUAUAUCUUACCUAUAUAUACAUAAAUUUCUAUAAUUAUUAAUUUAUGUUUAUGUUGGGACCAUGUUUUUACAUAGGAAUUUCAAAAAAUUAUUAUUUUAUUAUUUUAUCGAAUUUAAUGAAUUUUUAUCAUUCAGGACUAGAAAAGUUUAUUAAUUUUAAUAAUUAUUAAUUUAUCGAAUAUUAAUUUAUAAAAAUUCUACGGUAACAUACAUCAUAGAGAAAACAGUGAUUAAAAGAUAUUCUUUUUUGAGUUCAAAUUGUAAUAGUUUAGGGGCUAAAGAGUUAGGCUAAGCAUUUAUGGAAAAGAACUCCACAACUGUAUGUCGAACUUUUCAAUAUUUGAAACUAACUUCCAUGAAGUAAAGACUUUUAUGUGAAGAAAAAACAGAAACAAAAAAGAAUUGAAAUGUUGUUUCUGGUAAUGUGUAAUAAACAAUUUUGUUCAAGUCUACGUUACAAAGUCUUUACAUAUAUAAUACUGUCACAAGAAUAGAGCUAUAUAUUUACGUUACUAAGUCUUUAACCUAAGUAGACAAAGACUCUUUCGGGUUAUGUACAUAAUAAGUUAUUAUUAUUACACAUUGAUCAACAAAUCAAACCCAAAAAAUAGACUAUACAUUGGCUUCACCAAACAUAAGGCAAAGCAAAAUACUCGAGGCUAAGAUAUUUAACAAGACAAAGAGAAGCAAAUGAAAUUUAUGCUUCAUUGCCUUCAGAUACUGUUGCGGUGAAGGGAGGGAUCCAUAGCUCUAAACGAGUACCACCAGCUCCUAAGGCUGCAUCGGAGCUACGAGGUGAUAUAACCCUGAUCACGCAUCCGUAACUCUCCAGGAUCUCUCGGGCUACGGUUAAACCAGCCACAAAGUUCCAUGUCAUAUUGUCUUCAACCAUGUUUUCCGACAGGAGUUCUGCUCCAAAUGGUGUUAGCGAAUGCAUUUGCGUCUGCAUUGAUGGUUAAACUUCUAUGUUAAGAACCUAUACGGUUUGAGGUUAAACUGAUAAAGCCUCAAGACAUAAAAGCAGGAAUCAAAGAGCAGCAGAAGAUGAGUUUGGUCUUGUUUAUACCAUAUAGCGCAUGUCAGGACCAUCAUCAUCAAUUACAACCAGACUACCACCGGCAGGAGCUCUGGUCGACAAAAUUUCGACUUUUCCUCCAACAUGAGUGCGCAACAGUGCACCUUCGAUGAGGUUGCUCAGAGCCUGCCUCAAAGCCGGUUCUUCAACAGCGACUUGUAGGGAAGCUGAGUUUUCACCUAGCUCCACCACUCUUUGCUGAGUAAGGGCAAGUGGUCUCACAGUCUCGACCAUAUCUAUAAGCACAUUAGAAAUGUCGCAUGGUCUUCCUGACAUAAAUGAAAGAGAUAAGCCCUACCAGUGCAUUGGUUCAAGUUUUCGUAACAAGUUCGUUAAGUUAAUGGCUCAGGGAGCUUAUACCUUAUGCUGUGUGUUUUUAGGGGUGCAAGGGCCAUAGGUGGCAUAGGCACUUCUGAAUCAUCUGAUCCAGAACCCAGGGAAAGGCGUGGACUCGGGACUUGUGACCCAUCAAUGGGAUCCUUAUGUUCAUAGUUACCGGAAUACUUUGAUCUCCUUGUUUCAUUAUGUGUUUUGUUUAUCUUCUUCAGGGCUUCUUCGUUGUGGCGGACUAUAUUAGCCUGAAAUUGAAAUGCUUAGGAAUACACUUACAAAAAAUGAACUGGCGUGCGGUUUGUAAGGAGGAAUCUCAUGCUUAACCCAUCUAAGACAGAUUUACGAAAACAACUGACAAAUGAUUCAUGACUCUUCUAAGUACUGAAAGAGACAAAGUAAGAGAAGGUGGAACCUUUGUCAAGUGAACUGCAUCCUGAAGUUCUUGAAGGGUGUCUCUUAUUUGUUCGCCUUGAACUAUUAAGUCUUCGACAAUAUCAUGUGAAAUCUACAAGGUGAAAAAAACCCAAGUCAGUCCGAUAAUUGCAAGACUCAGGGAGAACAACACUUCCCAGCCAAAUGUUAGUGCAAGGACCUGAUUUCUCUUCGUAUGAGUUGAAAGCAUUUUACUUAAAGUCCUGAUGGUAGAGAGAGGACCACGGAUCUGCGAAAGAGCAAGAAAAAAAUAACAAACUAUAAAACUAAAGGAAACGUUAACGUAAGAUCAAUGUGUGUUAAGAUAACAAGUGUGUGGCUCGUACCUGCUCCACUAGCUUACUCAUCCUCACAUUGUUUUGCCAAGAUGACUGUUGAAGCAGCAUUGUUUUCUAAACAUACCCAUAGAAAGAAAAAAAUAGUAAGUAUUAAAGAUAAGCCAAACACACGCAAUGCACAACAAAGACGGACAAGCAACAGCAUAAGCCCAAAGGAAGAGACAGGAUAUAGGAACAACCUGAUCCAUGACAUAUGCCAUAGCGAGAGUCCGUGAAAUAUUAAUGGCAUAAGACCUCUGCUCUGCAGUGAACACCUUAACAGACGGAACCUUAACUUUUGGUGGCUUUGCAUCAGCUGAACCAGGCAAAGCAUAAGCUUCCUCAGGUGAAGGAAAAUGCUUUAAACCACACGAUCUUUCCUCCUCCUCCUCCUCCUUCCCCUCCUCCUCCUCAGCUUCUAAUGGUAACUCAGCAACCAAGAAACCAACAACAAAUGGGUGUUUCACCAUUGGAAACACUGCAGCUCUAUGUUUAUUCACAACUUCUACCUAUCAUCAUCAUCAUAUUACGUCAACAACGAAAAAAAAAACUACUUUUUAAGCUAUUUGCAGAGGAGGAAGAAGAACACACAAAAGUCAGUGACAUACUUGUUGACUGGAGAGUGACGCUUCAGCCGCUCGAAGACCGGCGGGUAUGCCAAAGUUUCCGACUAAGAUCACAACGUCUCCGGCAUUAACACUUGGGUAACAAGUGACACGACGCAGCUCCAAUCGAUCCAUCACGUAGCUACCAGCUGGUCUCACAUAUAUCUGAAACCAAAAAUUAACAAAACCCCAAAUCAAUUUGAAAACACUUUUCAUUUGGAUAAAGAAGAACAGAGACGCACCGAGAGGAUUGCGUUUGGAUCCACGAUUCGACGAAACAGAUCCAAUUGCUCGAGGCAAAGACGCUGGAAAUCGGGGCUUGGCAAGAUGAUCUUCGUCUUGAGAUGGUCUUUCUCAAUCAACUGUGUGAACUCCACAGGAGUCGUUGAAGCUCCACGAAUCGCGGAAGCGAUGGCCGAGGCAGACGCCACCAUGGUGGUUUCUCCUCCGCUGCCGCCGCCGCCUGCGGAAUCUGAUGCUCCAUCGGAUAAAGUGUGGUUCACGUAACGGAGAUUGCGUGUGGGAAGGGUGUAUAUAGAAGGAGGCGACGACGAGGAGGAAGACGCAUUGGGUAGCUUAAGAGACGAAUUAGAAGGUCUAGGGUUUGGAAUACAAUUGCAAAAGAGUAACUUAGGGUUCGGUGAGAAAAGGGUCUGAGAUGAGAUUGCAGAAAGAAGCAUCACUACCGGAAGACGACAGUCGAGUUACUUGUGGCUGAGACUGAAACUCUGCGAGGAAGACGAUACACAAUGAUAUUACGACACACAUCGACUAACACUAAAACGGCGUCGUAUUCAAGUGGAUAUUUUCUUUUUGGGUAAACAUAAAACCAAACUGGAUUUGAAUCAAACCCGGUUUUAUAUGGUUUCAUUUUCUACAAAACCGAACCAUAAACCAAUCUUUAAAAUCAAACGUUUUUUCUUGAAAAAUCGUAACUUUUAGUUUUUUUGUUCGUAUCUCAAAGUUUCUACUUUUAUAUUUAGAGGAUAAAAGUCCCGUGAUGGAGUUUGGAAGCUUACUUUCUUAGGAUGCUCUUUACUUCUUCUGCUUUAUACCAAACUAUGAAACCAAUCAUAUCUUCUUUCUUUGCUCUCUCUUUGCUUUCUUCACUCGCAACAUCAUCACUAUCAGCGCAUGCCCAUCAAUGCCACUUCCCCGCAAUCUUCAACUUCGGCGACUCUAACUCCGACACCGGCGGUCUCUCCGCCGCUUUUGGCCAAGCUGGUCCUCCUCACGGCGCUUCUUUCUUCGGCCUACCCGCCGGGAGAUACUGCGACGGUCGCCUCGUUAUUGACUUCAUAGGUGAUGAUACUAAUUAUACUCUUUUCGUUGUUACAAGUUUGCGUUUUUGCUGAUUACUAUCUUCUUUUAUUGACAUAGCGGAGAGUCUUGGAUUGCCAUAUCUAAGCCCGUUUCUAGACUCUGUUGGUUCAAACUUCAGCCAUGGAGCCAACUUUGCGACGGCAGGAUCUCCGAUCAGAGCUCUCAACACCACUCUUCGUCAAAGUGGAUUCAGCCCGUUUUCACUCGAUGUUCAGUUGGUUCAGUUCUACAAUUUCCACAACAGAUCACAAACAGUUCGCAGUCGCGGUACGUCUUUCUAUGGAGUACAUAGAAGCAUAAUCACUUUUCAAAAACGCGAAAAGUUGGUAACUUUUUGAAUUUGGGCUUCAUAUUAUGACAAUGUCACAGGAGGAAUUUACACGACGAUGUUGCCUGAAGCAGACAGCUUCUCUCAGGCGCUGUACACUUUCGACAUCGGUCAGAACGAUCUCACCGCUGGUUACUUCGCCAAUAAAACAGUCGAACAAGUUGGAACCGAGGUUCCUGAGCUCAUCAGCCAGUUCAAGAAAGCUGUCACGGUCAGAGACUCUGUUUCAUACUCUGUUCCAAAUGAAUUGUUUUGUGUUUUAAAUGGAAUCAUCAUAAAUGUUGUCUCUUUUUUGGAUGACAGAAUGUUUACAAACAAGGAGGGAGAUACUUCUGGAUUCACAACACAGGACCUAUCGGUUGUUUAGCGUAUGUGAUCGAAUGGUUUCCGAUUAAAGCAUCAGACUUUGAUCCACACGGAUGUGCCUCUCCAUUGAACCACUUAGCGCAACGAUUCAAUCAUGCCUUGAAACAAGCCGUGAUCGAGCUCAGAGCUUCCUUGCCUAAAGCAGCCAUUACUUACGUAGAUGUCUACUCUGUUAAAUAUGAACUGUUUGUUCACGCGCAAGGUCACGGGUUCAAGAGAUCGUUGGUUUCGUGUUGCGGUCAUGGAGGGAAGUACAACUACAAUAGGAACAUUGGGUGUGGGAAGAAGGUGAUUGUGAAAGGCAAAGAGAUGUACAUUGGAAAGCCAUGCGACGAGCCUGACAAGGCCGUUGUGUGGGACGGUGUGCACUUCACGCAGGCUGCUAACAAAUUCAUCUUCGAUAAGAUCGCAACCAGAUUGAGCAUGGCCUGUCACAGGCAGUGACAAGUGACCACAACAACAACAACAAGAAAGAAGCUUCUUUUUCUUUUGUGAGUUUGUUUGUAAGUUCUUAGAAAGGAACCUGUGUUUUGAUUGUCACUGAUUAAUGAACUUAUUAAGAAGGGAAUAAGAUUUUUUUGGUGAGAAAGGUUCAUCAUUUAUCAACAAGAAUCUCUACAUCAUCAUUAAAAGUCUCCAAAGGAUAUGAAACAUAUAUGGACUUACAAGCAUAUGUAUAUGAAGGGUUUUUUCAGCAUUUGUAGUGGUUGAGAUCCACAAUCACCACUGUGAUAUCAUCCAUACUACCUCUACUCACAGCCAUGUCCACGAGCUCUUUGCAAGCCGCCUUGGUCCAAGAAGACUCGGUCUUCAUCUUUAUUCGCUUCAACGCAGUGAUCUUCCGUGACUUUGAAGGUGGACUCAGGUGGGGAGAAGGUAAUUCAUUCUCUGAAUGGUAGUAACUUGUGGAUUUUGCAGAUUUGGGAGACUGAACUGGCAACAACUCUUUUCGUUGCUUGACAAGAGAAACUCGCCGAAGUUUCGAGGAUGGGCUUACAUUGACAAGGCCAUGGAUCAAGUUCUCAUCCUCGCUUUCUCUAGGCGUCUUUCUUGGAGCUAGAACACGCAACACGGUGUCAACUGCUUCUUGGUUACUAACAACAUCCCAAAGUCCAUCAGAAGCUAAGACAAGAAACUCCAUAUCUUCUUCUAAAUCGAGUAUUCUUGUGUCGGGUUCAGCAACUACCCAUUUCUUUAGGUGUGCAUCUCCAAUGCUUCUGGAAAUAGCGAGUAUUCCAUGAACUCGCCAAGCCCCUUUAUGGAAUUCGACAUAGCCUCCCUAAUAGAGCAAGUAUCAAAGCUAUUCCCUCAACAAAAAUCAGCAAAAUUACAAUUUUCUUCACAGUCUUACCUGAUCUUCGAUUCUUUUGCGUUCAUCAUCUCUUUCUGCUUUAUGAUCACUUGUAAGAGCCUCAGCAACUCCUCCUCGACACAGGACAGCUCUGCAAUCUCCCAAAUUCGAGACAAUCAUCUCUUGAUUUUGUAUCAAAGCUGUAACACAGCAGGUACCACUCACUACACCCUGCAUUUGUUGGUAACCAGUAAGUUCAAGUAGAUUGUAAUCUUAACAAGUAACUCUACUCAUGAACAAUUCAAGCAUUAUUGUUUUACCUCUUCUAAGAAAUCACGAUCUGUACUCAAAUAAGCAGUUUUAAAGGCUUCUUCUUUCUCCCCUUUCUCCUCGCAAUUCUUCAUCAUCUCAAGAACAUUUUUGUGCAGAUUCUCAGCAACAAAUUCUGCAGCUUUCCCACCUCCAUGACCAUCAUAAACUCCAAAGAAACUCUACAACUCAAAAUCCCCACAAAAACCAAUUAACCAUAAACCAUUCAAGAUUUAGAACAAGGAAGCGAAGGGGAAGAAACAUACCUUAUUUGAGCUUCCGGCAAAACAAGGAGCGAUUCUGUGACAGUCUUCCAUGAACUUCUUCUUGCCUUUUCUGGAGAAAACACCAAAAUCGUUGCCUCCGAAGCACACGGCGUCGUUUUGGUGAGAAAAGUCUUUGAAUCUGAGAUUAUCAGUUUGAAUCUCUUGAAGGACAUUGGGGAUCUCUAUCUGGGGAGGUCUCUUUCUCUUCAAAGACGACAUCUUUGGGACCAAUAACGGUGAAUUAUUCAAAGGUGAUUCCUUGCUCAGUCUAUUUUCCAUGGCAGGAGAAAAAGUCGCCAUUUUUUCUCCUGAAAGUACUGUGAACAUAUUGCCUCAGAGCAACGGCUACAAAAUGUGAGCGGAAAAAGUCAAUGGUAGAGAAUAGACGCUUUAGGGUUUUUGGCUUUUUGCUCAGUCAAAAACGAAGAAAAAGUUGUUUUUCAAACAUUCAAAUGGCGAAACUGAAAUUGGAGAAAGAAAACAAAAUAAUAUAUAUGGAUUGUACCGUCUAUUAAAUUUUAAAUAUAAGUAGUUAAAAAUAAUUAUAAGUAAAAGUGUUAAAAAUAAAAAUGAUGAUACAUAGACCGAGAGACGUAAAUAUUUACAUCAAAAAAUCUGUAACUAGCAUGGUUAGAAAUGAAAAAAAAUUAAAGAAAUUAAUGAAAAGACAAAAUUUUCCACAGCAUUUUUUGAAUUAUUAAAAAUUUGAUUAUAACUAAAAUGAUACCAUUACUGGAAAAAAAAAACUAAAAAGAUACCAUUAAUUUAUCAAAGAUGUAAUUUUUCCAAAAUUAUUUCUAAAUUUGUUAUUACUUAUUAUUGAUAGGUAAGACAAAGAAAAUGAAAACGAAAAAGUAUGAAAUCUUUUGGAAUGUUAAAAACGGUUAUACAUGAAAAAUAUAUAAUACAAAAAUUAUGAUGAAAUUAAAAACACAAACACAAUUUUCAGAGUAUUUUUAGAACUAUUGAAAACGAUUAUAGGUUGGUAUAUUCUAACCUAAGUUCAAAAUGGCAUCAGCAAUACUUAAUUGGAAGAAAAUUUAGAGUACUAAAUAUUAUUGAAGAGUAAGAAAUCAGAUGCUGUGUUCACAUUAUUAAAUUCAGCAAUGUGGAUGGUUCGGAUUAAGCUUUCUAUUUGGUGACAGCGUUUUUAGUUUUUAGUUGUGCGGGAAAAGCGAUUUAAGAGUGUGGUACGGUUCAACUACGGUACGUGUGGAAAAAUAUAUUUGCAGAAUUAGUGCGGUUUGUAUAUAAUAAGCGGUACAGAAGAAUGUUUGAUUGGUAAAAAAACAAUUUACGGUCCAUAAUAAAAUAUUUGAAUAGUAAACAAGAAAAAAAUAACUUUUAAUAUAAAAAAUACUAUCUUUUUCAAAAAUCUAUUAUUAAAAUAAAUAUUUUAACUAGUUUGAAUCUAAUUAAGGUUAUAAAAAAAUAUAGUUGUAGAAUAGAUACGAUCGAUCAGUACAAAAUAAAAGGUGUAAAAUAAUAUUUAAUUGAUAAAAAAACAAUUUGUGGUAAGCAAAAGUUUGAAUAGUGAAGAAACAUCAUAAUAAAUUUACAAUGUUACAUAUUAUAUUUUUUUAAAAAAAUAUGUAUUAACUAUUUUAAUUACUUAUAAAUUGAUUAGUACAUAACCUAUUUUUAUAUUAAUUUAUUAAAAAAUAUACAUUUUUUAGAUUAAAAACGAUGGUAAUAGGUUAAAAUAUAAUUUUUUUGUUUUUUUCAUAUAUAUGUAAACUACUGUGUUGUAAAGAAUUUACAUCAACUUUUUAUUAAUAAGAAAUUAAAAAAAUAAAAGAUAAUUAGCAUAUUUGUUUCAUGGAGUGCGUUAUUUAAUUGAUACCACUGAAUUGCUGCGGGACUAAAAAUUUGCGGUCCAAAGGUUAAUUAGGCCAGUUGAAAACCGCAAAUGACUUUUGACAGAAUUUUUGAAGAACGCAAAUAAUUAUUAAAGUUGGUGUGAUUGGUGUUCAUUUGCGUUUUUUAAAAAAAAUUCUGAAAACCGCACUCUUACUUGUUACCAUUCAGAGCAUUAGUCUUGCAAAAUACAGAAACACAAACGUUCGAUUUAUGUUCCAGAGUGCUUUACAAGAACAUUACAAAGAAGAAACACCAAGUCACCAACAACAACAUUUUCAUAUAGUGAAAUCAUAAUCCAAAGGAAGCAAUGAAACAGAGUAAUCAGAAGAUUCCAUGUAACUUCUUCUUCUUCCAUUAACGUAAUUAAACAAAAGAUCAUGCUCCUGACGAUGCUGUACCAAUCUUCUGUCUUCUUCUCGGUGCGCCACAUCAUCAUCAUCACCGUCAAAAAAAGGCAAGGUCCGUUUUUGCAUACUCAUCAAAACGUUAUGCCACGUGUUAACUCUCGAUUGUGCCUUCCCGUGAACACCAACGUUCAUCUCCGACAAAUCCUCGCUUCUUACGCCCAUCACUUCCUCCGGUUUAGCACCGUCAAGAAUCCAGAUAAGACAAGAACAAAACCCUUUCGAGAUCUCCGAGUCGCUGUCUGCUUUAAACCUCAUCCUCCCUAACUCGUCCUUCUUGAUCUCUAACCAAACCUGAGUCGUGCAUCCCGUGACUCGGUUCGCCGGAACACGAGCCGAGUCGUCGAGUGGGGCUAGAACCGUCGCGUAGUUUAAAAGACGUUUGACUCGGUCUAUCGGUUCGGUUAAGGACCGGAACUCGGUUACGAGGAGACGCAGCUUGUCGGCUGAUGAGGUUGUUGUUGUUGUUGUUAAGAGAGCUUCUUCUGCUUCGAGUGAUGAAACCGUGGCGAAAGAAACAGAGAAUUCGUGGCUUGAUGAAGGGUUUGGAUUCGAUUUCGAACCGAAGUUAAGAUUGAUGUUAGAAUCUUGCAUGCAUCUAAUCCUUUUAGGAGAGAAUCUUGAAGGAAAUUUUGGGUUACGGAGAGAUUUUACAGUUGGUCUGAAGGUGGAAAUGAACAGAGGAGGAGAAGCAACGGCCUUUAACGACGAUAUCGAUGAAGUAGUGUUCAUGUUCUGUUAAUUUUCAAGGGAAAUUGAGAAAAAGGAAAAUGGAAGGGAAAAAAGGUAGAAGAAGAAGAAGAGGGAGAGAGAAGAUAGAGAGAUAUUUAAGGAUAAUCAGAGGAAAGCUCCUUGAACUACGCGACGGAGAGAGAUGAUGAUGAUGAUGGUGAUUAUUAAAAGUACAGAACUUUCUAAUACGCGCCAAAAAAACUAUUGUUCUGUUCUUUAUUUAUUUUUUUGGUGUCUAGAUGUGUUAUAAAUGAUUAAUGAGAAUCAUUUUGAUAAUACACUAUUUUAAGCUUCGAUUUUUUUUUUUUUUGGUUGGUCAACAGUUUGCUUCUAUUCUUACAAACUAAAAUUUUCAAUUUGUUUUUCAUUUUACGUAAGUGAACUUUUAGAAAAAUAACGAAAUGGUAAUAGACUAAAUUGGUUUUAUUUAUUGUCAAAUUGUUCUAUUGAUUUCGAAAAAAUUGAUUCUUUGCAAACGUAAAAUUAUCUCUUAACUAGUCAAUAUAUGUUGUAAACAUCUUUUGACUCGAAUUUGUUUGAAAAAAUAUAUAUAGCGGCAAGAAAAUAUAACUUUAGAUUUGUAUACCAAUCAUGAUCUUUUUGGUAUAUUCAAUAAUCAACUUGCAUUGCCUUUUUUAUUGUUUAGUCCAAGCAAAUCCAACGUACUUGGAUGCUUACCUAAAAUUUCAAUUGAGUUGAUACUUUGAACACUUGGAUAAAAUAAUUUUAACCAGAUAAAGUGUACUAAAUUACUAAUGAUCUCCAUAGGUCUGUCGAUUAAUCUAACUUUCAAAAGAAUGUUAUACUUUUGUGAAGGGUACAUGUUCAUCUAAUCUAUACAUCUAUAUAGUUAUGUGGCAAAGUUAUCAUAUUUUUUUGUUUACAAAGAUCUUGAACUUAUAAUAUAGGAGGAGUGAUAUUUUGUUUUAAUAAUGGAUUUGAUUGAAAAGAGUGGGCGAGUGUGAGUUAAGUGAGUGAUUCAAACACGACCUAGUCAACAGAAGAACCAAUUUCAAAGAGAGUGGCUAUGAGUUUACAAAUUAAAAAAUAGAUUGCAAAACGAAAGACGAAAUGUUUUCGAUCAUUUGAUGAUGUAAAUGGAGAAGAUACGAUGAACGAAAUUUGAGACCGCCUCUAGAGUGACCAAUCUAAAUGGGAAGAUUAAAGGCACGUGCAUAGCUUUCUCUUUCGAUCUACCAACUCCAUUUCUACUACAAAACAUUUUAGUUUCUCUGAAAAUUAUUAAUAUGAUUUGCGAGUAAAGACAUCAAAAGCAUAUUCGAUUCGAUUACUGACCCAUAAUGUAGGAAAGGGAUAUGGGAAAUCAUAUAUAAUAUAUUGUUCAAAAAAAUCAUAUAUAAUAUAUAGUUUAAAGUAGUUUUCAUUUCGUCAUAGCUGACGGUUACACUCGACUAGAGUGUCCCGGCCAAAAUUAGCUUCUAAUUUUUUUUUAUCUUUCUAAUUCUUUAUUUCCAUUAUAUAUCUUAAACAAUUCGUUUGUAUAUAUUCCAAUUAUAAAAAUGUAAAGCACUCAAAAUAGUCUAGAAACUAUAUUUAUUGAAAAAGUAAAAAAAAAAAUAUUUAUCAUUUAACUACUUUCAUAAAGAAAUGAAUCUUUUGGAUUUACUUACAUGUUGGCAUAGGAACUAGACCAUCUUAUUGUUGGAGAAGCAUUCUUCAAAAGUAGACUUGAGAUGUCAAACCUGUGGUCUUGAUGGAGAAUCGAGUAACCACUUUCUCUUUACUUGCUCAUAUGCUAGGCAUGUAUAGACUAUAUCAGAUUACCCCUGGCCUAAAGAUGGUUUUUGAUGAAGAAUUGUUCUAUGCUAAAUUUCAUAAUCAUAUUGAAAAUUGGAAAAGAUCAACCAUUCCCUUGCUGAAUAUAAGGAGAUACCCGUGGAUCAUGUGGUAUUUUUGUAAGAAUAAGAACAAACUGUUGUUUUUUGAAGGAAAAUUGUUCUCAAUCCGCCAAUGAUUAAGUGCAAAAAAUAGAUAAAAAGGUAUCAUGUUGGGUGAAUGGAUCAGGUGUUGGAUGCCAAUGAUAAAUUUGUCCACAACCACAUAGAGAGUUAAAAAGCAAAGAAAAUGGAAACAUCCACCUGAACCGUGGCUCAAAUGCAAUGUGGGAUUCUCUUAGUUUAAGAAGAAGCUUUUAGAUGUUGUGGCAUGGAUGUUAAGAGAUUGAAAUGGGACAGUGAAAAUGCAGAGCAGCCAAGCUUUCUUGAACAUGAAGUUGAAGGAGGAGGUGAAGCUAUAGAGUUUAGUAUGGUCUAUUGACAGUAUGCACAUUCAUAUCAUCAAUAGAGUCAUCUUUGCUUCUAAAGCAUCAGAAAUGGUUUGGAGUUAUUACAAUACAUAAAAGCUUGACCUUCUUUUCAUUACCAUGCAGCCAAAAUUAGAGCGAGUUUGACUCUUUUUGGAGAUUGGAGAAUAGAGUUAGAGAUUGGGGCAACAAAAUAAGCAAAUGGGAUUCUCUUAGCACAAUGUGUGUUACUAAUGGAAACAAAAGUCAAUCGUACGUUGGCACGUGUCAUGACCAUAUAAAAAAAUUUGCUUAGAGAAAUUACAGGGAUUUAUUGCAAUUUCCGCUUUCCUUAGCAUUCAUUUUUCACGGUUACAUUCUUUAGACUAUUUUUCACGGUUACAGUCUUGACAUCAUGAGCAAUAAGGGUAAAUUGGAGAGAAAUUGCUGACGUGGAGUGGAAAUACUAAUUUUUAAGUUUCUUUUGGUAUCUACUUAAUUUUUUGGUCAACUUUUGGUAUAUAAUAAAAUCACCCUAAUUUAAAAUCCUAAUCCAAGAUACUAUCCUUCUUUUUUCGAUAAAAAAUAAAAUAAAAUACACUGUUGGUCUUGGUCAAGUUAAUAUCGACUUAAAAAAGAAAUAUCUAAUUUUAUAUUCUGAAAUAGAUACGUAUAUAAAUGACAAAAUUGUAAAUCAUAGAUUUAUGUAGUGAAAAUCAAUUUUACAAGAAAUCCUCUGGCAGAUUGGAUUUUGCAGGUAACGUCUCUGCUCAUUAAAUCUUUACCCUCUCGAUUAGUUUAAACCCCAUUGGAAAUUUCGAAAACAAGCGAUGUUUGAAUCAGCCAACUCGUAAUCCCUUGUUUCCUUGUAAUUUUCCGAAUUGGGUUUCCUGUUACUUUAUCAUUUCUUGUCGGAAAAUCUCUCAUCAGAGAGUUUCCUUGUAGUUCACGGCGAUGCUAUAGUCCUCCUUGAAAGCGACUGUCUUACAAAAAUUACUUUAAUUUUGUAACCAAUGUGAAAUUUCCAGAUUCAUACUUGUUUUUAAACAAUGUAAAAUGAGACGAAUUUGAUGGGAAAAAAACAAAAUUUAGAUUUGUCAAAAAGUCUUCCCAAUUGAUCUCUGAAAACCCACCAGAAAUUCAAAGUCAAUAAGCUCUCGUCUAUAUAUAUCUGUGUGUGGAUUAUUCAUAAAGAAGGGUACUUUUUGUUGGAUUAUCUGAAUCGACAUAUAUGCUUGAAGUGUUGCAGGUGAUUGUGUUAUUUAUCUUGUUCUGGGUUUGGUUCUCUGUGAUGGGAGGAAGUAUCUCAAAAGACUCGACCAGAGGCCGAGGUCCUCAGAGGUAUGAUCAGAGGUAUUCUCGAAGCCUGUUUGCGAGCUCGUCUGUGUCUUCUUGGGGACAUUAUGGAGAUCAGAAUAGCACUUAUCAUACACCAAACCAUCCAUCUGCAAGUCCUGCCCCCUCCUACAAUACUGGAAGACAAACUCAAAAGAGUCUUGAGAGGAAGUAUUCACGGAUUGCUGAUAACUACCGCUCCAUCGAUGAGGUUUGAAUCAAAGAAAUAUUCAUUCAUCGCUUCUUUUGUGUAGUUUUUGAGCCUUUUGGUGUGUGAAUUUCUUUCUCCAUUGGUGUUUUGUUGAUUUUUUUUUCUCUCAACAGGUUACUGCUGCUCUUUCACACGCUGGUUUGGAGUCCUCGAAUCUGAUUGUUGGUAUUGAUGUCACCAAGAGCAACGAGUGGACAGGUUAGAGAAAUGAUCUCUAUGUACAAGUAUCUAUAGCCAAUGUUUGAGUCCAAGUUGAUCUGAAAGCUGACUCAUUGAUUUGAUUUAGGGGCGAGAUCAUACGGUAGGAAGAGCCUGCAUUACAUUGGAACAACUCCAAACCCUUACCAGCAAGCUAUAUCCAUCAUUGGAAAAACUUUAUCGGUUUUUGAUGAAGAUAACUUGAUCCCAUGUUAUGGAUUCGGAGAUGGUAAUAACCAUUAAUACCUGGUCUUUUUUUUCAUUUAACUGUUGAGUUUGUUGUAUUGUCUGUGAUUAUAGAGACUUUAAAAUUGGUUUCUUCGGUUUUUGAUUAUGCAGCUACAACUCAUGAUCAGGAUGUCUUCAGUUUCAAUCCCAAUGAUAAAUUCUGUAACGGGUUUGAAGAAGUUCUCAUGUGUUACAGAGACAUUGUUCCCCAGCUCCGGCUUGCAGGUUGAGUGAGAUAAAGCAAACCGUUUUCUUCGUACUCUUAGCUCUACUUUUUACUUGAUAUAUUGCCGGUUCUGUAACAGGUCCGACAUCUUUUGCACCCAUCAUCGAAAGGGCCAUGACAAUUGUGGAAGAAAGUGGCGGUCAGUACCAUGUUCUUCUCAUAAUCGCUGAUGGACAGGUAAAGAACACUGUGUUGGAACCUUAUUUUGAGUUCAGUUAUGAUCACUCUCAGACAUUUGUAUAGUUACCAUCGAAACUUUUAUUGUGUCAGGUGACAAGAAGUGUUGAUACGGAGCAUGGGGCAGUCAGUCCACAAGAGCAGCAAACCAUUGACACCAUUGUUAGAGCAAGGUAUUUCUUCGAGGAAAAUCCAGUUUUAUUAUGUUGCUCUCUACAUGUGAUUCUAAUUUGUGAUGGAAUACGUUUCAGUGAGUAUCCAUUGUCGAUAGUUCUUGUUGGUGUUGGAGAUGGCCCCUGGGACACCAUGAAACAGUUUGAUGACAACAUCCCUGAUCGUGCCUUUGACAAUUUUCAGGUAAACUUUCUGCAAUAGUGUAGAUCCUUGUCCUGUUGUCGCUCCAUUGAAUCAUUAUCAUUGAAAUCCUUUCAGUUUGUGAAUUUCACGAAUAUAAUGUCAAAGAACAUUGAUCCGGCAAGAAAAGAGGCAGAAUUUGCGCUUUCCGCUUUGAUGGAGAUACCGUCUCAGUACAAAGCCACCCUUGAGUUAGGAUUACUAGGGUGAGUAUAUCUUCUGAUACUUUAUGAGUUCAUCACUGUAAUCUCUGCAUCAGCUAUGAACUGGUUUCAAUAACAACCAAUCUUUUUCCUUAUUUUGGAAUUCGCAGACGAAGAACCGGAAAUUAUCCAAACAGGAUUGCGCUUCCACCACCAACUUAUGCUACUCAAUCUAUGCGCAACAGUCCAAGAACUUCAAGAUCAACCAGCUUUCAGAACAGAACACCACAACCAUAUGAUAUUGGUGUUGCCACUGCACCACUUUCACAAGCUCGUAAUGAUGGCCAGGUAUUGCAUGUAAAUGAGGUUACAAAGAAAGAAACAGCAUUGAUUAUCUUUCUGCUUAAUCACAUGUUUUUUGUUUGAUGAACAUCAAAACAGCUUUGCCCGAUAUGUCUAGUGAUACCAAAGAACAUGGCUUUCAAUUGUGGUCACCAGGUGCAUUUCCGGUCCUAGCAUUUGAGUUAAAGAAUCACACUUCAAACAAAACCGUUUAACUUUCCUUUCGAUUUUCUGUUUUUAUACCCAUAGACUUGCUCAGAAUGUGGUGAAGACCUCAGUGUUUGCCCUAUUUUCCGGAGCUCAAUCUCGGUUCGUAUCAAGCUUUAUUAAGAUGAUAAACUCGCUCAAGAGCUGAAGGAAGCACAGCUCGAGUGAGUUUUCCUGCGUCAUCCGAACGAGAUUUUAUCAAUGGUGGUGGAGGAUAUGACCAGUGUCCUAGCAUUUGUUUCUACCGUUGAAUGAUGUUUCGAUCAAUCACAGAUUCUUUUUAAAGGUUUGUAGAUAAUCUGUUCAGUUUUUUCUUUCUCAUUGCACACUGAAAACACACAGCAGACUCUCUCGUCACGCUCCACAUGCAAAUAAAGGAUCUUUGCUCUGCUGCAACAGUCUCAUUUUAUAGAUUUUGUACAUAUGAAUAUUACUCUCUCUUCCUUGAAGAGUCUUCUUGAAUGUUCUCAUGAUGUAUGUAUAUACCUUUCUUGUCUGAAACCUGUCGUCUUCAACACAAGAGCCCAAAUGGUCCUGAUUCACUACCAUAAUUAACAUCUUAUGGAUCGUUUUCAUCGAAAAUGGUAUAAGGGCAAUUGUUUCAUAAGUUUUAAUCAAAGAGAGUACAAGUUCCAUUUUAAGGCUUCCGUAUUAGAUUUUGCUUUUUUCGUAUUUGAUGCUUUCAAACUAAUACUUUUCACUGUUCAUGUGUAAUAAGAUAUACUUUCCCUUAACGCAAGUUAUUUUCUUAGUGUUCAAUGAAUGCGACUUGUUCUUGGAACUAGAAGCAUGGUGAGCUCAUGAGAAACAAUAAGGUUUACAUAAAUCUAGUUAAACCAGAGUAAUCUAGUGCUUGUCUUUCAUCACGGAAAAGUGUUAUCACAGUGAAAAGAAGUGAAGGUUUUAAAACGGUAAAGACAAAGACAUGUUCCAAGUCUUUGAAUAAGAUUCCAGUCAGAUUGUUCAACAAUCUUCUUUCAGUUUCAGAGACCCUACUUAUGUCUUAUCACGCAAACCAAUAGAAAAAAACAUCCUUUGUGGUUUGGUAAAUCAGAAUUCAGAGUAUAGCCUUUUCAGCACAACCUUUACCAUGAAUUUCCAAAGCGACAUCUCUGCUCUGAAUCAAGACAUCAUAGUUGAGCGGCUACUUCGUAGCCAUGAUCCAGACGGUCGAUGGGUUGAUUCCGAUAUGCUGCUUCAAGACGUCGAAACUAUCUUGAGCCUUCUCUGGAAAAUGAUGUGAGCUCCCGUCUUAAAUUCUUCAGAAACUUGUUUAGAUUGUAGCCAAUAACACUGCCACUACAUUUGCAGAUUUCUAAGCCGCUUUUGACAGAGAAUUGUAUGACCAACUUUGAAGUUUUUGAAUCAAAGGAAACAAUACCAUACGCCAUCUCCAGAAUCUCCGUUCAGGUUAACAGAUCUUCCUUUCUUCUCAAAUCAAUUCUUCCUUUAAAAUCUGCAAUGGGCCGGAAAUCUUGAAACUAUUAAGAUUGCAGAUGCUUUGUCCAUGCAAGGGAGAAAAUGAGAUCCAGGAAAGAACAAUGGUUUUAUUUGAUCUUCUGAAAAAAUACAGAUGGGAUGCAAAAGCUUUUUUAGUACUAGGAGCCCUUGCUGCAGCAUAUGGAGGACUAUUGCUACCAGUUCAUCUAGCCUUCAGUGAUCCCAUCGCAGCAUCAAUUGCAACACUCAACCAAUUGCCAAUUGAGAAAACCAAGUUCAGACCAUGGUUAAACUCUCUAAUCCUGCUUGUUAAAGCUAUGGUGGACGUAACCAAAUGCAUCACUGAGUUUGAAAAACUUCCAUUUAAACAAGCGAGACUAGACAACGACAUUGUGGGAGAAACCAUGUCUAACAUCUGUUUGGCUACUUACCAUGUUGUCAAAAGUGCACUUGCAUGCCUGCAGCAGAUUCAUUAUUUCAAGCAAACCCAGCAGGUGUUUUUUCCACCCUUGUUCUAUCUUCCCUACAAAAUGAAAAAAAAGAAGCAAAAACACAGAUAUUGUUUCCAUCAUAUUACCAUUUCAACAUUGAGUUUUCUCAUGGCUAGGAAUUAUCUAAAAUACUCAGGCAACAGAACCAAGGAGAGCAGCAGGGGAACUUUCUAGUUUGGGAUAUCAAUUGCGCAACAUGCAUAUCCACCUCAAUAAGCAGGUAGAAGAAUGCGGUUUACAAAUAGGUAACUUUCAAAUGUUCUGACGUUAAGUUGCAAAAGCACAUCUUCUAAUAAAAUGCAACACUCAUCUCAUAUGUUUCUUCUCUGUUGUUAUACCAACAGAGGGAGAAAUCUAUCAAAAACUUAGAAACAUUAACACUGAGACUCAUGAAGACAACCAAGAGGUACUCCAACUACUUUUUUCUCUACAAGAUGAUGUGGUACUUCAACAAUACUCCAGACAGGUAUAAAGAACCAUCUUUUUUCUUUUUCCACGUUCCUUCUUUUUGAUCUUUUACUUUAUAAGUUUUCAUCCUCUAAAUACAUCCUAAAAUAGUAAAAUAAAAGAUGCAGUGCAGCAUUCUUCAGUAUGAAGAUACAUAGACAGAUUCUUUUACCUUUCAAGACAAGAUUAUUCAUUUGAUUCAAUACUCUUUUAACAUCCAAUGGCAGAUAAGUAUAACUGAGCUGAAAGAAAAGGUAAUAUUGCUGCUAUUAUCAAAGCCAGAACUCUUACCCAUAGAGCCAUUUCACUUCCUGCUUCAACAGUUAUAUGAUCGUCCAUCCAACACCAACACAGAGCAAAACUAUGAAAUCUUAUGGAUUCCAAUACCAACAUCCCAAAAAUGGACAGACGAAGAGAAGAAAACCUUCAAUUUCUUUUCCAAUUCACUUCCAUGGAUCUCAGUAAGGCGCCCAUGGUUGAUGAGCUCCACAGUACUGAGAUUUUUUUAAGAACAGAAUGGCCGUAUAGAGAUGGUGAGACGAUGGUGGUGGUCAUGGAUCCUAAUGGGAAGGUUGUGAACAUGAAUGUCAUGGAUAUGGUAUUGAUUUGGGGUGUUAGGGCUUAUCCAUUUUCAAUUUCCAGAGAAGAUAAGCUUUGGGAAGAAGAUGGAUGGUCCUUGCAGCUCUUGCUUGAUGGCAUUCAUCCUGCAUUUGAAACAUGGGUAAACAAACCCUUUUUAAAUUUUUCAUCAAGCUUCAAAAUUUUUUUCAUUCUUAUGAUCGGAUUGUGAAAUCAAUACUUGAAUUCAUCAAACUCUACGACUCACAGGUGAAAGGUGAAAGAAGGCAGAGAAAUCUGCAUAUUCGGAAGCGACAAUUUGGAUUGGAUAGACGAAAUUACGUCACUAUCACGGAAACUUCAAAAUCACAGAUUCAAGUUUGAGCUGAUUUACCUCAGCAAACGCACAAUAACCUUUGCAUCAGCCAUGGAAGAGAGCUUCAUCCUGUUCAGUCCAGAUAUACAACAACUCUUCAGGCUCCGAUUAGAAAGCAUCAAACGAUCUAAACUCAAGCGAAUUGAAUCAUCGAAGCCCGAUCGCGUGUUUGAAGAAGUCACCCAACUACUUGACUUCGAUUACAGUAAACACAAGGGUUGGGCCGUCAUCGGAAAGGGAUCAGCGGCUGGGACGGAGAAAAUCGUCGGAGAGAAUCUGACGAAGAGGAUGAGGCGGAUCCUGCGGUGGGGAGAGUACGCUUCGGGGCUGGUUUCACGGAGGCGAUUCAAAUCGCGGAGGAGAAGCCGUGUGAACAGAGUCACACGGUGGUGGUUCUGUUUGAGGAAGGUUCGUUGACGAUGAAAGUUGUCACGUGCGAGAAAUGCAAAAGGCCCAUGAAGAAGUUUGUCGCCUAUCAGUAACUCAAAGGCCCGUUAGUUUAACAUUACAGACCCAUUAAUAGUUAUAUGGUUUUAUAUUCUUGCAAUAACAGAAGAAAUCUAAACUCUGGGUUGCUAUUGAAGAAUAAUAUGAUUUUGCAAUUUGAAUACAAAUCAAUUCAAAUGUUUUUGAUUGAAUGUUUUUGUUGUAGUUGUUGGAAUAAAGUGUUGGGUCGGGUCGGUUUGGUUUAAUUCAAUUUAUGAGACUUUAUUUACUUGCUCAUUUCGAUUACUAAUUUUAUUUUGUUAUAUCUUUUCAUCAAAACCUGGAAAAAUCCUUCCUUAUCCAAAAUCCAAAUGAGAGACAAUUCGGUUUCGUUUAAUUCAUUUCCACAAAUUUUGAAAACAUCCCAUGGGGCAUGUUGGAUUAUUGAGACAAGCAAAACAUGUUCCACGAGUGGGAACAUAAAGAGAGUCUGGAAAUGGAUAACUAUCACCAUUUCAUGCUGUUUGCAAGAUACUCUGGACAAGAAAGCAGCACGAGAUUUAUUUGUUUCAGAUUCAGAACCUUCCUUGAGACUUGCGUUCCCACCAUUCCAUGAACUUAACUUGAGCCGCCAUCGUGUCCAGCUUGUAGAGUUGCAGCGUGUGGUUCGCGACUUCUUGCCCAAAGGUCCAACCAAAAACACCCCCUCCUAAGAACGACAAUGCAGCACCUGUCAUAACAAAAGAUCCGAACACAGCAGUUUAGUAUUUAGUAACAUGUAAAGCCCCAAUGAGAACUGCAUAACACUUGCAUAACGAGUGAGGGUUAUUCACAGAGAGAAAACGCCCUACCAUGUGGACUCCUCGAGUAUUUCCAGGCAAAAGCAGCAGUAGAUACAGCUCCAAGUGCAGCUCCAGUAACACCAAAAGUCGCAGCUUCCCUAGCAGUUUUCAGCUGAAAACGGAUGAACAACAAAUGUUAGCCAAACUUCCUUGAGGACCAAAACUUUCAUAUCUUCAGCAAGAAUACCAAAUUACGUACCUAUGGGAUGAAAUUGAGUAAGAAAUCAAACAAGAAAUUCUAAGAGUCCCGAGAAAAGGGUAAAUAAUUCUACAAAAGUUUUGAUAGCAGCUCAUUUGAUUUCUUACGGAACCAAAACAUGAAACUUGGGGGGCUCUAUGAACCCUUAAUACAACUAGAUUCCUUUAUGCUUAUCACAUUCUUCCCUACUCUAUUAAACUCUGAAACUCAAGCUUCUUCACUCUCCUACUCGGAUCAGUUUCAUACAUCCAAUAUCUUAAAAAUGAGGGGAAAACAUACCACCACAUCUGAUAACCUAAUGCUUAUCCAAUAUCUUAAACUCACAAGCUGAGAAUCAAAAGUCCAGAUUAUUUCUGUUCUCAAUUUUUUGCUAGUUUUAAAUGUAAACCCACGAAUGAUCUAAGCCAAAAUCCUACCCUAGACAUCACUGAUUUACCAUCACCAGCAAAAACUCCUAAUGGAAAUCAAAUGAAGAAGAAGAUAGCGAACGGGAAAAGCAAUCAGAGAGCAACACAAGGCAAAAGGAGUGAAUCCGGAGCCAUAGAUAGUGGAUUAAACAACAAAUCGGAGAGGAAGAGAGUGAGAGAGGGGCAUACGGUGGGUCCAUGAACGGGAUCGGAGGCAAUGAACUCGUCGACGUCGGAGGAAGACCAAGAAGGAAGAGGCGUGUCGCGUUUAGUGAACCUCGUGUAAUUUUCCAGGAAAGCGAACCUCUCCCCCCAGAAACCCUUGAAUCCGUUCCAAUAUUCCCCCAUCUUUCUCAGAUCGAAAUUCCCCAGGAAAAUAUCAGCUUCCAAAGAUCUAACAAAAUAAAUUUCAUCAGGAAUCCACCAUAGAUUUCCAAAUCAAUCAACUGAAGUGGCAAUCGAACAAUAAAUCCAGACUUCCUACUUUUUUCAGAAAAUGCAACAAAUUGGACAGUGAGAUAACAUGUAAUCUCCGGAAUCAGAAAACUGCAGAGAAAGAUUGUUCAAGCGUCAAAGCUUAACCGAGAAGAAGAAGAAGAAGAUACCUGGAGAUCGACUCUUCUUCUAUUAUUUGGUUCGUUAUCGGAGAAUUUCUUUGUUUUCAAGCCAGAUUCCUCACUCUCAAUAAUCAAAAUCAAAACAUCGGUCAUUGCUUCGUGAUGGGUCGGGUCGGUUUUCUUCAGCUGUAUCUACUGGGUUUUACUUGGCCCAUCUUUGACUUCAAUUUUUAAUUGGGUUUUACUUGGCCCAUCUUCGACUUCAAUUUUUUUAAUUUACUAAUUAGACAUUUACUCAAAUUAUCUCAAAACAUUCGUUGGGGAAAAUAUUGUGGCUUACUGAGACAAGCAAAACAUGUUGCAUGAAUGAGAACGUAAAAAGGUAAAAAAAAAAAACCCUAUAUAUAGACCAAGACUAUCAUGUUUUGUUUUGAAUUCAAAUUUAAAACAAAGUGUUUUACCCCAAAAAAAAAAAAAAUUUAAAACAAGUGCAAGUGACUGAAAAUAUUUAAAGCAGUGACUUGUUCCGUGAGAUAAAUAUUUUUAGUUUGUUUUUAUAGCUAACUCUUGUGAACUUUAAAUAUUAUAUGUAUGUAAAAGGAGAGAGAGUGAGUGGAGACUAUAUGAGGGAGAGAAAUUGUAUUAUUAACUUCGUUUAUAUUACAAAAGGAAGAUGUUCCUCUAUUUAUAGGGAGGAUGGCAGUUAUAAAGAAAAUGUAGUUAUUACCACAUGUAGGUAAAUGAAGGGUAGGUAAAAGUUGAGGUGGGAUAUUAUUUAUAUAACACUUUCUCUUGAUUAUCCAUCAAUAAUAAUAUAUUACGUAUUACCUUGUUAAAAACCUUAUUAUGGAAAAACUCAUUGGGAUAAAAACCAUGACAAAGGAAAAAGAGUACAGCAACAUAAUCUCUCUCUGGAAAUGAUGGAUAUAAAUUUCCUUCAUAGGUCUCGUAAUCGGCGCAUUCCGAUAUUAUGAACAUGUUUUUUGAAUGAUGUAGUGGGAAGCGCCUUUGUAAAGAGAUCUGCUGCAUUGUCGCUUGAGCGAACAUAUUGGAUAUCGACUUCCUGAUAUUUCUCGAGUUCUUGAGUGUAAGAGAAAAACUUUGGAGGAAUAUGUUUCGUUCGAUCAAUCUUGAAGAAGCCUUCCUUGAGUUGAGCGACACAUGCAGCAUUAUCUUCGAACACUUUUGUUGGUUCCAUAUCGAUGACUAUUCCACUUGCACCUUGUGUAUGUUGAGUCAUAGAUCGGAGCCAUAUGCAUUCUCUACAUGCUUCAUAGAGAGCAAUGAUUUCCGCAUAAUUUGAAGAAGUGGCGACCAAAGUCUGUUUUUGAGAACGCCACGAGAUCACUGUUCCACCAAUUGUGAAAACAUAUCCAGUUUGCGAUCGGGCUUUAUGCGGAUCUGAUAAAUAUUCUGCAAGUAGAUUGAUAGCAAAAGCUAUAUCUGGUCGAGUACAAUUUGCAAGAUACAUAAGCCUAAUACGUUUUCGCUAUCUUCACAAGGUCGAAAUGGAUUCUUGUUAAUAUCAAGUGAUCUAUUGACCAUUGGAGUACUCAAAGGAGUUGCUUUAUCCAUUUUAAAGCGUUUUAACACCCUUUUGGUGUAAUGUGACUAAUAGCGCUCAUAUAAGGUACUUCAGGACCUAAUACGUUUUCACUAUCUUCACAAGGUCGAAAUGGAUUCUUGUUAAUAUCAAGUGAUCUAUUGACCAUUGUAGUACUCAAAGAAGUUUCUUUAUCCAUUUUAAAGCGUUUUAACACCCUUUUGGUGUAAUUUGACUGAUGCACAAACAUUCCGUCUUGGAAAUGCUCAAUCUGAAGCCUUAGACAAAAUUUUGUCUUUCUAAGAUUUUUCAUUUCGAGCUCUUCUUUCAUGUGAGUUCUUGCAUCAUCAAUCUCCUUUUGAAUUUCGAUUAUGUUCAGGUCAUCAACAAAUACAGCAAUGAUCACAAAUCCUGAUGAGGAUUUCUUAAUAAACACGCAAGGGCAUAUCGCAUUGUUGAUGUAUCCUUUACUCAACAAGUAUUCACUCAAGCGAUUAUACCACAUGCGUUCGGACUGUUUUAAUCCAUAAAGUGAUCGCUGUAAUUUGACCGAACAUAUGUCUUUAGAUGCUUCAGGCAUCUUUGAUCCUUCUGGGAUCUUGACUCCCUCUGGGAUUUUCAUAUACAUGUCACUAUCAAGUGAUCCAUAUAGAUAUGCAGUCACAACAUUCAUAAGGUACAUAUCUAGAUUUUUAGAUGCCGUUAGGCUCAUUAAGUACCUGAAUGUUAUUGCAUCCAUGACUGAGGAAUAUGUAUCUUCAUAAUCAACUCCCGGUCUUUGAGAAAAACCUUGUGCCACAAGUCGGGCUUUAUAUCUUGUGACCUCGUUUUUCUCAUUUAUUUUCUCAAAAAGACCCAUUUACACCCGAGUGGCAUUACAUCUUCUGGUGUAAUGAUUUUACGUCCAAAGACAUUUCUUUUAUUCAGGGAGAUUAAUUCAUUUCUCAUGACCAUCUGCCAUUUCUUCCAGUCAGGCCUUUUUGGCAUUCUGACACGGACCUUGGGUCUGGAUCAUCAUUUUUUAUUUUCAAUUUCUUUGGAUACUGAAAAGGAGAACAUUCCAUUUGUAUCAUUUAUCUCACUUCUAGCCCAUAAUGUCCCACUUUGGGCGAAGUUAAUGGAAGUCUCAUACUUUUCAGUAUCAUGUUCGUCUUCUGGACGAACUUCUUUAACUGGUUCUUCUGGAACCUCUUCAUGUAUGUCUUCAGGACAUAUUUCUCUAUAAGGUUUAGAACCUUAUUCUCAUAUGUCUUCAUGACAUUUUUCUUUAUUUGGUUCUUCUGGAACCUUGUCUCCCAAUUUCUUUUUUUUUCGAGGAUUUUUAUCCUUUGAGCCCAUCGGCCUUCCGCGCUUUAAUUGAACCUGCGGUUCAUUUGUUUUAUUCCCAUCAAUAACUUGUUCCGGAACAUUUAUUUUUGAUGGAGCAUUAGUAGCGGAGAUAUAUGAUUUUGUCACCCUUCUCGUAUCUGUGAACGCAUCAGAAAAAUUAUGGUAUUUUCUCCUUCCGGGUUGACUUGAGAAAAAAAGGAAUAAUUAACACCGACUUAUAACUGGUUUACCAAACUUUGCAAAUGUAUAACUUUCUGAACUUCCACCUCGCGUUGAUGGGUAGGGGGAUCGAGAUAAGCCAACGUUUGUGUACACUAUGUGAUAUCCUUUGGUGAUUCUCUUGAUCCUCCCCCAAAGCUGGGAAUUCAUUUUCAUCAAAGUGGAAAUCGACAAAACAUGUCGUAAACAUAUCUCCAGUUACCGGUUCAAGAUAUCUAAUUCUACUUGUUGAUGUAUAGCCGAUAUAUAUUCCCAAUCUCCUUUGUGGCCCCAUUUUUGUUCAUUGUAGCGGGGCUAUUGGGACAUAAACUGCACAUCCAAAAAUACGGAGAUGGGAUACAUUUGGCUCCUUGCUAGAUGUUAACUAUAUUGAGGAAUAUUCAAUAUAUGCACUUGGUUUCAUCUGGACCAAUGCCCCAACAUGCAAUAUCAUGUUCCCAUACAGUAAUUGGGAGUUUUGUUCUCAAUAUUAAUGGUCUUGCAAUCAACUGCAACCGUUUUAUCAAAGACUUAGCCAUGCCAUUUUGUGUAUUCACAUGGGGAACCGGAUGCUCAACAUCGAUUCCUAAUGACAUACAAUAGUCAUUAAAGGCCGCUGAAGUGAAUUCACCAGCGUUAUCACGCCUGACUUUCUUUAUGGUAUAAUCAGAGAAUUGAGCUCUCAACCUGAUUAUUUGGGCAAUGAAUCUUGCGAAAGCCAUAUUUCUUGUGGUCAAUAGACACACAAGUGACCAUCUAGUAGAUGCGUCGAUUAAUACCAUAAAAUAUCUAAAUGGUCUGCACGGUAGGUGAAUCGGCCCACAUAUAUCACCAUGUAUUCUUUCUAAGAAUACAGGAGAUUCAUUCCCAAUUUUGGCUGGCGAGGGCCUAGUUAUGAGUUUUCCCUGAGAACAUGUCUGACAUGAAAACUCUCCCGUUUAAAAAAUUUUGGCACUCGAAUUUUGCACAAUUCUUCUCAUCAUGAUUGAUCCAGGAUAGCCAAAUAUUUCAUGCCAUACUCUAAAUAUACUAGUAAACCUCGGGUUUACUGUAACAUAGAAUUCAAUCAUAUUUAUUUUUGUGCAAUAUAACCCAGAGGACAUCAUUGGUAAUUCUUCCAAUACAUGUUUCCUCUCAGAUGUAAUGCAAAGAUAUUCAAUGCCAUUCUUAUUUAUACAUGCUAUAUGAUAUCCAUUUCUUCGGAUAUCUUUAAAACUUAGCAAAUUUCUGCUAGAUUUGGGGGAAUAUAAUGCAUCAGUUAUUUCAAAUUUUUGUCCUAUUUGGCAUUGAAAAGUUAGCUCUUCUGGAGCGUAUUAUAAUAUUUGCAUUACCAGAUAUGGUAUUCACGCUUCCGGCGGAGUCAUUUAUUUUGAGACAUGAGAAAUAUUUUUUUAUCUUUAAGUAUAGUAUGUGUCGUAGCACUGUCUGCUAGACAUGUAUCUCCAUCAUGUAUCUCAAACGAUGACAUGUUCUGAAUCACAAUAUGCAAGAAAAUGCAUUAAUAAACCAAAAACAUGAUUUUAGAAAUUAUUUUAUAUUAAGAAAAGUAUAUUACAUUCUAAUUUAAAAUUACAUUGGUUUUUCUUGUCUUCUUCAAGAAGACUUUAUAUUACAUCGAUCUUAAUCGCUUUGUUUCCGUUGAUUCUUCAGGAUCAACAAGGAAAUCAGCGAUAUCAAGAUGAGUAUAAUCAAUUAUGCCAUCAUAAGAAGGUCCAGCUUCAUCAGAGAUGAAAUUGGUAUCAAAAUUCUUUCCUUUAUCCUUUUCUUUGGCAUCUGGUGAUUCUCGGUACAGAUCGGCUAAAUGUCUUGGCAUACGACAGGUUUUUGCCCAAUGAUUUUUCAUGCCGCAUCUGUAACAAGCAGUUUCUUUUUGCUUUCCUGCUUCCCUACCAACAUCAUUUUGUCUUCCUCGUCCACGACCUCGUCUGCGACCACGGUUAUGGCCUCGACCGCGUCCGCGUCCACGUUCGGUUCGAUUAUUUUGACUAGAUGAUGCAACAUUUGCUUCUGGAAAUGGCGAUGAUCCAUUUGGACGAGUUUGAUGGUUUAACAUCACGAGCUGAUUAGUUUGUUCAGCUACAAGGAGGACUUGCAUCAACUCCGAGUAAGUGGUAUAACCUUUUGCCCAAUAUUGUUGUUGCAGGAUUACAUUUCCAGGAUGAAAUGUUUGGAGAGUUUUUUCGAUCAUGACGAAAUCACUUACCUCCUAUCAUAUAAUUAUAUUCACCAACACUUUUGUAAUCCUGGAACCGGAAGUUCAACCACUCAUGUUUGGCUUUCAGUAAGAUCACAUAUUUUUGGUGAUCAAACCGAUCUUUGAGAGAUUGCCAAAGAUCUGCAGGAUCUUAUUUCGUGAUGUAUUCUUCUUUUAAACUAAUGUGGUGGAGCAAAAAUGUCAUGGCUUUCGCCUUUUUCUCAUCUGAUGUCAUUUCCGACUUAUCGAUGGUAUCGAGAAGCCCGUUUCCUCUUAGAUGCAUUUUUGCACCUACUGCCCAUGACAUGUAAUUUUUUCCAGACACAUCAAGGACAGAGAUUUCGAGCUUCGCCAAAUUCGACAUUAUAACUGUAUAUAUAUCGUAAAUUUAGCGAGAUAUUUAAUUUAUAAUUUUUUUAAAGAAAAACAUGAUAAAAACUUUUGAAUAUGCAUAUAUAAUAAAAAUAUAUACUUAGGAAAUAUAGAAGGCAUAACCUUUUAUAUAAUUGAGGAGGCAGAGCCUACCAUAGUUUUAAAGGAGUAGGCAUAACCUUUCACUCUAUAUAUAAACAAGGAGGAGGUAUAACCUUCUAGUCCACAAAUAUAUUAUCAAAGAGGAGGCUUAGCCUUCCACUCUAAAUAUAUGAUCCGAGGAGACAUAGUCUACCAUAUGAUCAUAUGAUCGUGAAGGCAUAGCUUAUCAUACCGAUCGGUUUGAGGAAGGCAUAGCCUAUCAUCCCGUAAACUUGAAAACAAGUUGAACAUAAAUUUAAAUCAACAGUUCAGGGAAUGCAGAGCCUAUCAUCCCGAAAUAAUAUAUAAAUUUGAAAUAAAUUAAACAUAGAUUUAAAUCUUACAUCUUUGGUAUAAAAACGGAUUGAGAGGUGCUCGUGCUGAUAACGUCUUGUAAACUUUAAAUAUUAUAUAUAUAUAAAAGGAGAGAGAGUGAGUGGAAACUAUAUGAGGAAGAGAAGUUGUAUUGUUAACUUCGAUUACAUUACAAAAGGAAGAUGUUCGAUUACAUUACAAAAGGAAAAUGUUCCUCUAUUUAUAGGGAGGAUGGUAGUUACAUGGUUAUUACCACACGUAGGCAAAUGAGGGGUAGGUGAAAAUUGAAGUGGAGAAUCAUUUAUAUAACACUAACAAAAUGUUAGGAAAUUUUUGGAUCAUGCUCUUUUGAACGAUUUUGUUUUUAUAUUUUUCUUCUUCUAGAUCUGAAUAUAUCAGAGAGAAGCUUCACUUAGGACUAAAUUAAGAAUCAGAUUUACAUCUUACAUUUUUUUUUGUGAUAAGCUCAGUAUACAUAAGCUAAUAGUCAUUUUCCUUAAUGAGAAACAUAAAGAAUAUGAGUGAAAUCCAAAAAUAAAUAAGAACAGGUUUAUACAAUCAACUUAUUAACUCAGUCAUACUUAAACACAGAUGAGAUUAUACUUGUUCCCAAGUGGACUAUUCUAGUAGAUGAAAGCAUCCAUCAAACAUGCUCCUAGUAAAUAAAAAUAAUAAAACAGGAACAUGAAACAGAAAUAAUGAUGCCUUAACAACAAAAUGAAGAUUAGUAUUAACAAUCAUGAAAACAAACAAAAAUAACUUACGCAUCACAAAAUCAAGUUCCAAAAGAACUUCAUAACAAUCACUAGUAAUAAUAGUGGAGGAAGAGAAAGUAAGGGAAAUGACAAACAUAAUAAACUAGUGAAAUCAAAAAAUAAAUAAGAGUGCAAUCAACUUAGCAACCUCAAUGAUAACUAAACAUAGAUAAGAUAAAUUCAUUAAAGAAGAUAAUAAAAUUCUUCCAAUAAUUUGAAGCUAAAAUGAGAAUAACCUGUAAUUUAUGUGAUCAUUUCAGUAUAUCUCAAACCAGUAAAGAGCCGAUAUUAUCUCAAAAUAUGAGUGCAAUCCAAAAAUAAAUAACAAUUUUAAAAAAAAAACAAUUAAAUGAAUAACUUAUGCACUACAAAAUCAAGUUCCAAAAUAAUUCCAUAACAAUAACUACUGAAACGAGCACUCAAAAAAUAAGUGAAGGGCAAUGAGAAGAAUAAAGAAUAUGAGUGAAAUCCAAAGAUAUAAGAACAAAUUUUAUACAAUCAACUAAUCAACUAAGUAACUCAGUCAUACAAAAACACAGAUGAAAUUAUACUUGUGCCUAAGUGUACUAAUCUAUUAGAUGAAAGCAUCCAUGAAACAUGUUCCUUGUAAAUAAGAAUACUAAAACCAGGAAAAUGAAACAUAAUAAUGAUGCCCAGACAUCAAAAUGAAGAUCAGUAUCAACAAUCACGAAAACAAACAAAAAUAACUUAUGCACCCCAAAAAUCAAGUUCCAAACUUACUUUAUAACAAUCAACUUAAGAGUGCAAUCAACUUAGUAACACUCAUAAUUAAACAUGAAAGAAAAUGACAAAAUGCUUCCAAUUAAUUAAACCUAAAAUGAGGAUAACCUGUAUUUGUGCUGAUUCAGUAUUAUCUCAAACCAGUAAAGAGCCGAUAUUUGCGUUUUUUUCCUAAAGAGAUACAAGAAAGACGAACUCUAUCAUGACUACAAAGAGAAGUAACAAAGUCACAAAAUAAUAAAUAAGCAUAAUAAGAGUGAACGUUAAGGGAUAGAAUUAGUUGAACGAUUCCUAAAUAUUCUCAGAACAGAAUGAACAUCUGAUUAAAUGCAUUGUAACAAACCUUUGCUAACGAAGAACACCUAAAUGAUAGAGCCAAAAGUGCCAGAAGUUGUACCAGUAUCAGAUGAAACCAUAGCCAAAGCUUCUGAGCAGGCUUUAAAGAUCUUCAGAUGCGAGAAGAUCAUACUAAUCGUUAAUCUUUUGUUCAGAUAUAACGAUUUCAACCUCUGAUUUAGAUUUCUCCCCACCUGAUGAAAGAAGUUCACAACCUUGGAAAAGCUUAUGGUAACUAUAAUCAUCACGCCACUUAGUUAUGGCAAACGCAAUUCAUUAUCAGCGUUCAACGAUCCCAAAGUCAUUUGAAACUUACGAAAGUUACAGCCAUUUGAUCUUCUGACCUCUUGCACAAACAGAUGUUGUCAGUAUCACCAAUCAGGAAAAAGCCUGAAACUGUCAAGGUUAAAAUAACACCGUUAUAAGGUACAACAAAAAACUAGCGGAAAAUGGAAAAGAGUAGCCCAAAGAUUCGAAUAACAAACAUGACAUAUCACUUAUUGUGUUAAGAAAUGAGAACAUGAGAGAAUCAGUCGAUGCAAAUCAAUUUAAGGCCACCUUAAACAGGUUCUCAUAAAAGGCAGUUUUUGUCGCUACAAAAACAAACAAGAAGACAACCAUAGUUUUAUCAAACAUAACAAAACAAAGUAUGCAAACAAUACGAGGUUUCAUGGUAGAAAUUAUGGAAAGUACAAUCAUCGUGUCACUUAAUUAUGGCAAACGAAGUUCAUUAUCAGAUGUCCCAAAAUCAUUUGGAACUUGAAUUUACCGCCAUUGAUCUAUCCUCUGACCUGCAUAGCCAGAUCUUUUUUAAAUCAACAAUAAAAAAAAAAAAAACUGAAAAGAUUAAGAUACACCUAUUAUAAGGUACCAUGGAAAUCUAGUGGAAAACGGAAAAGAGUGGCACAAAGGUCGUAAAAUGAACAAGACAAAAGUAUAAAUUAAACAUAUUGUGUGCGAAAAUGAGAACAUGAGAUCUCACGAAAUCACACGAACAAAAAAAAGAAGAAUAAGAAGUUGCAUCACCGAAUAAAGUUCACAAAAUAUCAGUUCCAAAAGUCCAUAAUAUUCACUACUGAAACUGUAAAACAAAGGAUAAUCACUUUGUGAUUAGUAUUGGUAGAAACUAUGUCAAAGAAUUGGAGGCAAAAUACACAAGAAGAAACAAAAAAAACAAACAAUAAUCCAGUGAGGUUAACAGUGACUAUAUACAUAUAAGACAUACAAAUCAGUAAUGGAAAAAAAAUGCAGAGGCAAGCGAUAAGCAAGAAAUCAAAUAGCUAUUCACCACAUUGUAAAGUUCAAAAAGACACAAAUAAAAUAACUUAAGCACCACAAAAUUACUCAACGAAAGUCACUACUGGAACAAGCACUCUAUCAAUAACUGGAAGAGAGUGUGAGGAGAAAUAAGGGAAAUCAAGAAAAUUAGAGAAAUACGAGUAAAAUCCAGAAACAAAUGUAGAUAAAGAUUAGAUCUACAUUGUGACAAAGUGGACUAAUCCAGUCGAUGAAAACUAUCCAUCGAGCAUAUUUCAUUGUCAAGUAAGAACAAUAAACCAGGAAAAUGAAAAAUAAAUGAAUACACCUAACAGGAAAAGGUAUCAACAAUCACAAAAUUAGAUCAUCUUUAGGUACUGAAUUAAGAUAAAGCUGCAUACAUUGGUAGAAUAUACCACCGCAAUCAUAUGGCACCCAAAAAAAAAAAAGACAAAGUAAGAGAUCAAAAGAAGUAAAGGCAUCAGAACACGAAACACACAAAAGACGAAACAAACAACCAAACAAAAGAGAUUAACAGGCACAGACAAAACUAAAUUUGUUCGGCACAGACUUGAAGGCAAAAACUCCACAGAGAAUCAAUAUCAUAAAACUUAAUAAUCGCAGUAAUCUAAACGGAUCAUAAAACAUAGAAACAGCAGAACUCAUGAGAAAAGAAGAAGAUAAUUUCAGAAGAAAAAAGAGUCACAACCUGCAGAGAAUCCACGGAAACUACAAAAAUCACACAAACUAAAUAAUUUACUAACGGCGAACGCAAUCACAGACAGUGAUUCGAAGAAAUUAAAACAAAAUAAUUAUCGAAAUUAGAAGAAGAGCGAAAUUCAAAGAGAAGCUGAGAACCACAAUCUCGAUCCGAUCCUAACAACGAAACACUAGAGAGAAGAGAAUUACUACGUAGAAGAAAUAAGAAGUAAAACGAGGAAGAACAGAGAGCCAUACAACAGAAUCCUUUAGAAAACUACCAGAAAUUGGAAGAUAUAAAAUCAAGAAUCUGAAGUGGAAUGAGGAAUCGAGAGGCACGACCUAGUCUUAAAAGCGAACCUCUUAAGGAAAAUAAAGAGCUUGAUAUCGUGGUUCAAAAUUCAAAAUCAGGGAGGAAGAUAUAUAGAUCGAUCGAAUGGACGUCUAGGAUCAAGAGGUGUGAACGGUGAAGAUUGAAACAUUCAUUGACCGUUGAAACCAUCUCUUGCUCCCUGAUUAUUUAAUUACUAAUUUACCCAUUCCUUGAUUUUUUCUUUUCGACAAACAAUUUAUUGAUUUCAAGUUAGAAUUACAAAAGUUAUACAAAAUUUUUGAAAAACAAAUUAUUACAUAAGUAAUAUAUGCGUCAUAUAGUAAAAAAGAUACAACAAAAAAAAGUAAUUAUGACGAUGAUUUCUGCAGUCAUAAUAGUUUUUUUUUCUUCUAUCCUACUAUUAUAUCACUAUUGACCUGUUAAGGGAAUGGUCAGGAAGAUCCUUUGCAACUGAUUCGUUAUGAAUGAUUUGGGAAAAGAUAAUACCUUUUGCUCGAGCUCCUUUCGCUAGACUAUCCGCUCGGACAUUUGAACUUAUGGGAAUAUGGAAAAUAGUGAAGUCCAAAAAGCUCUUUCGUAGGAUCCGGAAGAUUUUCAACUCUGAGAGGAAGGAUGACCAAUCUGAUGGCGACUCUGCCAUGAUCCAAGCAGUUGGUCUGAAAGUGAACUGAUAAAAUCUAUCUAUGGUUUUGUAAACGUUUAUUCAUAUAUUAAUCAAUUAGAACUUAUCAUAUAUAUUAUAAGCAAAGUAAAAUUUUGAGUUAAAGCUCUCUCAUUCAAUUUCAGAGUGGUUAAUUACCCUUUACCCCUCCUUAUAUUUUUCUAAAAUAAAAUUUAAUAAAAAAAUUAUUAAAAAUCGAAAAUUAAUAAAAUUUAUUAUUAAAAAUCGUAAAUUAAUAAAAAUUAUUAAAAUCGGAAUUUUAUAAAAAAAUAUUUAAAUUUUUAAAAAAUAUUAAAAAUCGUAAAUUAAUAAAAAUUAUAUAAAUCAGAAUUUAAUCAAAAAACAUUUAAAUUUUUAAAAUUUAUUAAAAAUUGGAAUUUAAUAAAAAAAAAACAUUAAAAUCAUAUCAUAUAUACUAUAUGCGAAGUAAAUUUUUCGCUAUAAGUUCUCUUAUUCAAUUUAGGUGACUAAUCAUCAUAAUAUAUAUUAAAAGCGAAGUGAAUUUUAGCUUUAAAUACCUCUCAUUCAAUCUCAGCGUGGUUAAUUAUUUUUUUGUCCCUUUCUAAAAGGUCAUUAAUAUCCUUUAAUUGGUUAAAAUUUAGUCUUAUUUAUAAUUAACUAUACUAAAUUUUGUUACCAUGAAGUUAAUAUUGGAUCUUUUAAUGCUAUAAAAUUGUAUGGUUUUGUAUAUGAAAGCCCCAAGGCUCUCACUUUAGCCCUAAUCUCCGAUUAGUCAGAGCUUCUUCUUCAACCGGUGGUUUCUGUGUUUUGACGUUUGAGUUGUAUUGCUUUAUUAAAAUUUUUGAAUUAGGGUUUUCUGUUUAAAAGCUUUGGGUCUGUGUUCAUGAUGAAUGAGGACGAUUGAAUAUUUAAGCUUUGCAAUUAAUUUCCAUCGAUAUUGCUCUAUAAGUCUAUGACCGAUCGGAUCCCAUACUGUCUAUGCUCCUCCAUCUCAACUUUGUUUCUGUUUUUGGAAUGUGUCUGGUUUAUCCAAAAAUAAUUUUGCUUCGGACUUGAGAUUCUGUUUGGAUUUCAUGUUUAAGGUGUAUUCAUCUCAGUUAAAUUUUGAGGAAUCAAAGUGAUGCUAAUCAUACUGAUUUAGCGUUGUUUAUUGUGAUGUCGAGUUAUAGUGAAGAAUAUAUUCACAAGCAUAAAAUCGUAGCAAUACAAAAAAAAAAAUUCACAAGCAUAAAAAAGACCAUAUUAAACGAGUUUCUAAUGUUCUCUAAGCCAAGUCGAAUUGAUCGCUCUGCUUCUUCACUCUAAUUAUAGUAAAGACUGAAGAAAUCGUUGGAAUAAAGAUUUCGAUGAGCCCGUGACUCUUGCCCCAACCAGACUUUCUUGGCCUUGCGAAAUACAUGGUUAUUCAAGGUGAACCAGGAUGAUGCAUAAUGGAAUAUAAAUGGGAAAUUAUUGAUUAAAUUUAAACAAACUAGACCAAUCAGGGUUUUAAAAUUAUAUUUUUCAUGUUAAAUCUUGUGGAAUCGUUGAACAGAAAGUGUGAUUUCACUAAAGACUGUUAUUGGUAAAAUCUUGCAAUCAUGCUAAUUAAGGAAUAUUAGUAAUGACACUUUCACUGAGACUUUUGUUAUAACAUUUUUCUUAAACGGACCAAAGUAUUUAUGUGGUUGAUUUUACGAUUGGAUAAUGUAGGAGGGUCUUGAAUUGGACAUUUGCAUAUGGAUUCUACCUUGCUCAUAAUGAACAUGCAAAGACACAAUUUUUUCGAGUAUUUGAAAGAGGCUUCAUCAUUGUGCAGAGAUGUAGUUGGAACAGUUUGUCUCCGGAACUAAUGAACCAUCCAAAAGUUUCAAUGAUUUCGUUUGACUAAAGUAACCAAACCUACUUCAAAAAACACGUGAAAGCUUUGGAGAAUGGUCUUGCUGAUGUGGAACACAAUGAAAGCACAAAUCAACAACAGACUCUAGAUCUUCUUUCAAAUGACAAAGUUUGACAAGGGUCUAAGAAAGAUCCAAGUGGUAAGUGAGAGGUCUUUCAGCUUCAGAUUUAUAUUAUUGGUGCAAAAAACCGUAUGGUUUAUUGCAAGUGGUAUUUUCCAAAUUAAGGAUCAUAUCAAGUAUUCGGUUUACAAUUCGGAGGGACAUGUGAAAAAUUGUAAGUUUAUAGUAUUGAGAAGCUAUUGGUUAAGAUAAAUAAAGAAUAGAUUUUUUUCCCCUAAAAAAAAACUAUAGCAUCACUACGCUAAUUAAAAGAUUUUUACUUCUUUCAAUGCCUUAUAGAAAAAAUAUAUCUCAUUAUGUAAAUCUCAAUAACAGAGUAUAUUGGUAAAGUUUUAAAAACCAGGAAAUAGUCAAGAUAAUACCAGUAGGUACCUUACAUAACGAUCAAAGGGAAAGUGAGUAACUCCUAUGAGAGAGUCAUCUCAUUUAUGAUUGUUUAAGAAUCUAAUAUUUUAAAAAAAUUAAUCACUGGAAGAAUAUAUGUCUCAAAUAAUAAAUAAUUCAUUAUGUGAAGAUUAUUCUUUCUACAAAAUAUAAGAAGUGAAUACAGUUCUAAUUUUUAUGAUUAAAAAUUAAAACAUGUUUUGUUACAUCAAGACUAUGUAUGUUCUGCAAUUACUUAAUAAUGAAAGUUUUACUUUGCCGAAAAAAAAAAAAAUAAAACAUGUUUUAGUUGUUUGGAUUUAUAUAUAAUUUUGGAAUUACUUUUUAGGCAAUAAAGAAUAACAACUUUAAGAGUGACUUGGUUUCAGCUUCCAAACUAUAUUUCAACUUCGUUUUAAGAGGAGAGUUCAUAUUAGAAUACUCGGAUAAUAUGUGUCUAUGUUAUCUUUGUGCUUCACUUCGCAAGAUUUUUUGAAAUUGAUCGUUUAUACAAAGAUAAUCAUGCCUAUAAAGAUGUGAAAAUAUACAUCUGAAAACUUCCAAACUUCCAAAAAUAAAUAGUAGAAGAAAAUACGAAGAAGGAAUAAAACUAAAAAAGAAGAAAAACACAAAGAAAAAGUCUGUUUAUUUAAUAUUUUAUAUAAAACAAUAAGAAAUUGAAAAAUAUAGACUAUAUAAAGAAUAAUAGGAAGAAAAAAUAUCGAAAGAACAAUACAAAAAGAAAUUGAAAGAAAAGAUGAUGUUUCCGUCCGCGCAACGCGAUUUUGAGUAAGUUUUUCAAGUAAAUUAGCGAUUUUGAGUAAGUAUUUUUAAUGAAACAUUUCCGUCCGCACAAGGUGCGGGCUAAACACCUAGUAACAAAAAAAACAAAGAAGAAAUAAAACAAUAUUUAUUUGAAUUUGAUUAUUAAACUAUGAUCAAAUGUACAAAAAUUGACAAUGUGUCGAUAGAUAUUCUUUAUUUUUUUUUAAAUUAACCUACUGAAAAACAGUGGCAGAUUCAAAAUAUUUUUACAAAUUGUAGAAAAACAUCACUUUAAAUAGGCAAAUAUCAUCAAAUAAUUUUUUAAAAAAAUCAUAAACAUUUGUUAUAUAUUGUAAACAAAAAUAUCGAAAUUCAAAAUCUCAGAUAAUUAUGAAAACUUUUAGUGAACAAACCAAAUGUCCGAGUUAAAAUAAGCUGACUUAGCUGAGAUAAAUUUAUCUAGUGUUCGACACGUGGCAUUUACACGAUAAGCUGAGAUAAUCUGCAGUAGUAACACACAGUAGUUAGGUGAAUGUUUCCGCACUAGAUCCUGCCUCAUUACACCAACUUAUCGCAUCUCCCUCUUCUCAAACGAGGCCGAGAAAAGCAGCGGAAAGGAGCUUACGGCGAGGGAAGAUUUAUCCGACAACAAUGGUCAAGGUUUUGACUUACUUUGGUAUGACAUUAGCUGCUUUCGCCUUCUGGCAAUCCAUGGACAAAGUUCAUGUCUGGAUCGCUCUCCAUCAAGACGAAAAGGUUUGAUUCUCUUCCGGACUCAUCUAUCUUUUCUCUCUUGGUGUGCAAUACUGAAAUCUGACACCUUUUGAUCUUAAUUUCGCCGUCAAUUGCAUAAAUUUCUUCGAUUUUGAUUCAUUGUGACUCCGGAUCUGGGAUUGAAGGUCAAACCCAAAACAAUCGAAUUUAUAUAAUUGACUGAUUGUAUUUCUCGGUUAUAAAAAAUGGGUCUUUUGUUCGUUUUCCCGUGUUGAAGAACCAUGUGCGUCGAUCUAAAGGGAAGAUUUUUAUGUUGAUUUGAUGAUAGAACGCCAUGGAAUCUUGGUUAGUUGCGUUGUGUUCUUCAGUCUCUGCACAUCAAUACUAGUUGUUAUGAGAAACUUUAUCAUUGAUGAAAACUUCAUUUGACUCAAUGCUAGAUGAUGGAAUGUUGGGUUUUUGGAGAUAGAGAAGAUGUUUAGGUCUAUUUGUUUCGUUUUUGAUAGUCAUCGUUUAAGAUGUGAUGAUUAGGAGCUAAGCUUAACUUUUGAUUUGUUUACUUUAAUCUGUGAUAUUCUUUUGCUCAAUCUCUACUCUUGAUUAUGUAGUGAUAAGCGAUAUGAAACAGCUCACUGAUAUGUUAUUCUUGGAGUUGAGUAGAGAUUAGUAAUUGCACUUGAUUAGGAGCUACGCUCACUGGUUGCACUUGAUAAAAGUAGUGAUAAGUGAUAUGAUAACAAAACCGUAAUUUAUAUGCAGCAAGAAAGAAUGGAGAAGGAAGCGGAGGUAAAGCGGGUUAGAGCAGAGCUGCUAAGGAAAGCAAGAGAGGAGGAUCCUCUUGCCUGAUCUUCUUCAGUUAUGUUUUGGCUCUCUGAUCACAUCAAUGCACUUCUCCUUUACAUUUUUUUUCUUAACUGUUAUGGACCCAAAUGGAGUUUGCAUAAAAACGACAGUGCCAUAUAUACGCUUUGAAUGUGAGAUGAUCAUGAAUAAUGGUUCCUUGUUGUCUCUCAACCAAUGAAUCACUAGUGGAGAAGUAUCAGGAUCUGCUUGCUUUUUGCCUUCCUAAAUCUGGUACUGUAAUUGACUAAUUGUGUAUCAUGGAUUCUGCGUUCAUGCACAAGUUAAGGAGGUUUCACAUGCCAGAUCCAGUUUCUGAUUCGUGUUCAUUGUUGGUUAACUAAGUAUGAAACAUUGGUCAAGUUUAAAAUGCAAUAAAGGUGUUGGCCCUUUAAAAGUUGUUAUUGGUUUAUUUUUAACCCUAAGCUGCCAUUAAUUACAAACCAAGCAGCAAAGAUGUUUAGCCAAACACACUCAAAAAACAGAAAUCGCGAUUAUGAAAUUGUCACAGCCCUAAGAAAACCUUGGAACCGGCAGUGAAACGAUAAUAAACUCACCGUAACCUUCAGAACCGAUAAAUAUCCAUAUAUGUCGCUUAAUGUGAAGACAAACACAACAUUUUCUUGCUACUUGUAAACACAUUCUCGCCACAAACACGGUUCAUCACUGUGUGUACAAAAAUGUUGACUCUCAAUUUGUAUCAUUGGUCCAUCCUUGGAAUCUUCCACUUUUGCUAAGGCAUCGUCGUCAUCGACUCCGAAAAUGACCGCAGCUUCAUGAACAUCGAGAGACGCCAAGGCAUUGUAGCGUUUUCUUCUCUCAUGAUUUUCUCACGUGAUUUAGGUUCUGAUUGGUAUGACUGUAGGCUGUAGGUUUUUAUUUUAUUUUACUGUAAAAUUUUUUAAUUGUGAAAAAAUGACUGUGCCUUUAGAAAAAAAAGCCAGAAUUGAAAGCUUUAUAAAAACUAUCAAUUCCAUGACCAAAAAAUAGAAAAAACUAGAUUCUACUACGAGAAAUUUUGGAUUUUUAAUCUAAUUUUAUAAUACAACUAGGUGUUUAGCCCGCGACUUGCGCGGACCAAAAAGUUUCAUUGAAACCUAAAAUAAUUAAAAUAUGUCAUAAAUCAAAAAUAAUUAGAUCAAGAAUUUGAUACAUACAAAAUUAAAAUAAAGCUAACCUAUGAAAGUAAUCAUUGUCUAACAUUAAAAACUUUAAAAUCAAUACAGUGUAUGAAAUCAAUAAACACAAAUUAAAAUAAGAUUAUAUAAAUUAUUCAUCUUUUUCUCUUUUUAUCUUUUAAUUUUUUUUUUCUCUAUCAUUUUUUCUUUCUUUUUUUUUGUUUUUUUUUGUUUUUUUUUCUUCUUUGUUUUCUAUGUCUUUUUUUUUACUUUUUCUUCUGCUAGUUUUUCUUUUUCACGUCUUCUUCCUCUUCUCCACAUCUUUUCAUUUUCCCUCUCAUACAUCUUUUGAUUUUCUUCUCUUCAAGGUUUUAUUUCCUUUUUUAUUCUUCUUCAAUGUUUUAUUAUUCUAUUUCUUCUUCUUUUUUUCUUUUCCUUUUUCAUUGUCAUCGUCUUCUUCGUUAUCACCGACUUCCUAUUCUUCUGGUGUUUUUCGGCUUUUACCUCAUCUUCAUAUUCUUUUACUUUAUCUAAUUCCUCAUCUUUUAAGGUUUUCAUCCAAUUUUUUCUCUUCCCUAUCUUCUUCUUCUUCUACUUUGCCUUCUAAUUUAUUUUUUUUCUCCUUCAACAGCUUCUUAUUCCUCUUCUUCCAGUUAUUCAUCCUCUCUCCAAAUUCUUCAUCAUAUUUUAAAGAUAUUUGUCUUAUCUGUCUUUUUACUCCUCUCAUGGUUUAUAUUUUCCUUUUUUUAGUUUUUUCCUUAUAUUUUUGAGUUAUUUUUUAUCGUUACUUGUUUUCAAAUUGUUCUUCUUUAUUGUCUUCAUUUUUUUUACUUCUUAUUCAUCUGAUUUGUCUUCAUUUUUUCAUCAUAUUUACCUUUUUCAACUUUGUCUUCUUCAUCUUCUAGUUUUCUUCCAUUUUAUUAUUUUUUCUUUCGUUUCCUCUAUUAUCUACUGGUUUUCUUUUAUGACUUCUUCUUCUGAUUAUCUUUUUUUCUUCUCCAAUUGGUCAUAUAAUUUUUUUUUGUUCAUCGUCAUCGACCUAUCCGACUAUUUAUCUUACUUGUUCACUGUAUUAUUUUUUGUUCAUAUAUCAUUGUUUUCUUAUCUUCACCUUUUUCUUUAUUUUUUAGCUUUCNNNNNNNNNNNNNNNNNNNNNNNNNNNNNNNNNNNNNNNNNNNNNNNNNNNNNNNNNNNNNNNNNNNNNNNNNNNNNNNNNNNNNNNNNNNNNNNNNNNNCAUUAGCCAUUUUUAUCUUCUGCUUUUUACAUCUUCUUGAUCAUUUUUGUCCUAUCCAAACAUUUUUUCUUUCUAAUUUUUGUUUGUCUUUUUCGCAUCUUUACUUUCUUCUUUUUUAUUUUCUUUUUCAUCGUCGGAUUUUCAUCUUCUUAUACUUUAUUUUCUUCAUCUACCAUUUUUGUUCUUCUUUUUCUUUCAGUUUUCUUCUUCAACUUUGAGUUCUUCAUCUCCUUAUCAUUUUUCUUCUUCACUAUUUUGUGUUACCCAUCUUGAUCUUAUCGUUCAUGGUCUAGGACUUUUUGUUCAUUUUUUCCUCAUUUUUUUACGUUUUCGUUAACUCUAUGUUCUUCUAUAUGUUUCAAUUUAUCUUUUUCUCUUCUUUUUCUACUUCGUUUUUCCCUUUUUCCUUUUUCUGUUUUCUUUUUCGAUUUUUUCCUCUGCGCCCUGCUAGUGUAUUUGGCUUCUCUUACAUUAUUCAAAAAAUAAACAGAAUUCAGAAAGUCAUACUUAAAACAAACAAAAAAAAGACUUAAAACCUGUUUAUUAGACAAUGAAGAUGAUUUAUGAUAUGUUGACAUGGUUUUAAUCACGUUAAGUAAGGAAGAAUAACUAACAACACAAAACAACAACAUAUAAUCAAGGAACACUACUACUGGUACUGAAAAACGGAAAAAACAAUAGAAAAAAAUCAAAAAAUUGAUUUAUAAAAAAUAAAGAUGGUAAACAAUACAAUGAAAAGCCGACCAAUGUAGAAACCAAACCACAAUUGAGCUUAAGAUACAUUUAAAAAAGUAAUAUAUUUAUAUAUAGCUCUCAACUUAAGCUAAGAUUUCCCACAUCACAUGUAUAUUUUUUUCCAGAUAAUCUUGCUCAACAGAUAAUCCGAUUGAAAUUAUCUUAAUAUUAUCAAAAUAACUAAAAGUGGCAGCAAAAUUGUUAUACAAACUACAAAAAUAAAUUAAUUAAUUAAGGAUAUUUAAAAAAAAAUUAUUAACGAAUAAAUGAGAAUUAGUUACCUAGAUUGAAUGAGAGACCUUAUAGCGAAAAAUUUACUUCGCAUAUAUUAUAUAUGAUAUGAUUUUAAAUGUUUUUUUGAUUAAGUUUCAAUUUUUAAAUUUUUGUUAUUUUCUAUUUUAAAUAUUAUUGAUUAAAUUUCGAUUUUUAAUAUUUUUUUUAAAUGUUUUUUGAUUAAAUUUCGAUUUUUAACAAUUUUUUAUUAAUUUAUGAUUUUUAAUAUUUUAUUUAAUUUACGAUUUUUAAUAAUUUUUUAAUUAAUUUAUGAUUUUUAAUAAUUUUUUUAUUAAAUUUAAUUUUUAAAAAUAUAAGGAGGGGUAAAAGGUAAUUAGCCACCCUAAGAAUGAAUGAGAGAGCUUUAACUCAAAAUUUUACUUUGCUUAUAAUAUAUAUGAUUUAAAUUAUAAUCAUCAUAUAUAUUAUAAGCGAAGUAAAAAUUUCAUUUAAAACUCUCUCAUUUAAUCUCAGGGUGGCUAAUACCUUUUACCCUUCUUUAAAUUAGUUUAAAUUAAUUUUUAUAAAAAUAUAUAUUAAAAAAACGAAAAUAAUGGUUUAAAUUAAGUGAACAUACCAUUAUCAUACCGUAUAUUAAAAAAAAAUCAAAAACAACGGUUUAGGGUUUAAAAAAUAAAUAUUUGGCGGCUAAUUACCCUUUACUCCUUCUUAAAUUAGUUUAAAUUAAGUUUUAUAAAAAUAUAUAUUAAAAAAACGAAAAUAAUGGUUUAAAUUAAGUUAACAAACCAUUAUCAUACCGUAUAUUUUAAAAAAAAAAAACCAAAAACAGUGGUUUAAAGUUUAAAAACAAAUACAUUUGCCUUAAAAAGACUGCAGAGUAAAGUAUCUGUGAUUCUUCUGAAUACUAAACUUCCCUGAAGGGCAACAACGAUUGUAUCUGGAUUUCUUCUGGUAUUGUUCUCUUUUAAAUAAAGUCAUACAAGUGUUGCAAGUUGCAGCAGAAGUAAUUAAUUUUCAGACAAACUUUCUUUCGAUGCCAAGAUUCAGGUUUUUUUUUUAAAAAGCUUGUCUUGGACCAGUUUGACUGCCGAGAAAACUGUGAAAGGAGAAAAAAAAAAGUGAUUUAGGAUUUCUUUAAAGCCAAGACGAAAGACAAAACGUCAAUAGGUUAAAUUACGCAAAUGAUCUCUAAAUCAUUUUGCAAGCUUAUAAGCUUCCAACAGAGGACAAGCUAGCGUAUCUUCUGGGUUUGUCUUUAGCCAUAUAGUUGAUCUAACAGUUUUUCCAGGUUUUGUCGAGAAACCAAGCUUCUGUAAUCAUAUGAUCAAAUCAAGGGGAAUAAAGGGAAAAGCUCUGGUUGAAUCAGAAAUUAGCUCCGGUUUCCAAAGUUGAUCAACAACCCAUCAGAGAAAAAGAGUUGAAAAAAAAUUCAAAUAGAGAAGUUAACAAAAUUGGUUGAACAAAAAGAAAACUUUCAACUGUUUAACAUUCAAAUUAAGAGAAUAUAUUUUUUGUUCUCACUUGGUGGGCGUCUUUUGACAAACAAGAGAGAGAGGGAGUGAUAUAUUAAAUUGUGUCUUAUCUAUUGAUGACCGACAAAACCAUUAGUUUUCAUGGAGUAUUUUCAACUGGGAAAAUGCAAAGAAAAAGUGAGAGACACUAGAGAGGGAGAGAGAUAGAUGGUCGAAAAAUAAGUAAAAGUGGAAGUUUUAUAGCCACAAAGUCGUGGCCUUAAGCUCCACAGAAGGGAAGAAGAAUGAAGAACACAGAGGUGAAUAUUUUCUCUGGCCAAUUACACAGAGGUGAUCAGUGUAUCAUACCAAGGAGACUUGGUUCCAAGGCAAAUGAAAAUAGCCAAAGCUUCCACUUUCCUUCCUGGUUGCUAGAGAUUUUUGUAACCGAUAUUAUAAAUUUAUAACAAUGUGCAAUGAUUAAAAACACAUGUCUAGUUCUAAUUCUUUGGCUAAUCUAUUAUAUGAUCGAUAUAUUCUAUAAGUCUUCUAUAAAAAGUUUUUUAGUUUGCAUGAUGAUAUAUGUAACGGAAGGAAGAAGAGUGUUGUGGUGCACUUUUUCUAUUAAUAUAUAGGUUCAUCUUUUUCUAUUAAAAUACCCAAAUUAAAAUGAAAUCCAAGCUAAACUAUAGGAAAUGUUCAUCUUUUUCUAUUAAUAUGUUUGAAAUUACAAAAAAUAUCUCCAAAAUACUAAAAAGAAAAUAAAGUAUAAGAAACCGAAGAAGAAAGAAAACCUAGCAAAUUUUGCCACAGAUAACAACCUUAGACGUUGGCAGCCUGAUUGGAUUCGGUUGCGACAUAUUACUUUGGUCGAGUGAAUUUCAUGGACAACAAAGAUGGUUUGGAUGUGGUAACAUGAAUCUGUUUUUGGGAUUUUAGGUUACGUUUAGUAGAAUUACAUGUACACGUGAUAUGAAAAGUUACCUAGCUUCACAGUGGGUCUUGUGUUUAACUACAUAACUUUGAGGAAAUUGUUUUAAAAGUUUGUGUGAGAGGGAGGAAGAGAGAGAGACGUAAAGAGAGAAGUAAAAGCCUUUAAAGACAUUUAUAUGGAGGGAAUGAGUGGGAGAGAGAAGGAUAGAGGGAAUGAGUGACAGAGAGAGAGAUGGAGGGAAUGAGUGAGGGAGAGGGAGCAAAAGAAAGGUGAAGCGCAAGAAGGAAAAUGCAUGGAAGACAAAGUAGAAGAAGGUAAAAAUGAGGAGAAAUACAAGAAAAAAAGACAAAGACGACAAAGAAGAAAAAUCAAACGGUAUAAAAUGGGGAAAGAAAGAAAACAAAGAAGUCACAUUUAUCUUAAUUUAGUUGGUUAUAGGUUUUAUAUACUUAUUUACUAUUAUUUUUUUGGUUUUUAGUUUGGAUGGUGUUUACUUUUUAGGAUUAGUUAUGUUUUUGAUCUCGUAUGUCUUAAAUGGGUUGUUCUAAUUCUUUUGUGUUUACAACUUUUAAUUUUUUUUUAACGUUUUUGAAACUUUUCGGCCUGCGCAAGGCGCGGGCUAAACACCUAGUUUAUAAUAUAAUCUAUACAAUUUUAUAAUCUAUACAAUUUAAAUUAUAUAAUUUAUACAAUAGAUAUAAUUUGCAUUUCCUGUUUUAUAGAUAUAUAUUUUAUAGAUAUACAAUUUGUUUAUAAAUUGUAUAAAUUGUAUUAGAAAAAAUGAUACAAUUUAUUUUUGUGUUUAGAUAAACUUUAUGUUUAAAAUUUUUUUUUUAAUAAAUUUGAUCACGAUUUAUAAAAAUAUAAUUUUAAGAGUCAAUAAGGUAGAUAAUACAAAUAUAGAAUGAAAUUAAGUAAAUAGCAAUGACAAGACUUUAAGCUAUAUAUACAGUGUUUUGUCGGUGGGUGUUUUACCCUUUAGCCCUUCUUUGUUUUCCUUUUUAUUGCUUAUUCUAUCAAUUAUAUAUUCUUUACGUGUUUUUCUUCUCUCUUCUUCUAGUUUCAGUUUUUUUUCAACCAUAGAGACAAAGCUUUCUAGUUUGAAAAAAAAAAAUCAAAAACAAACCCAGUAACAUUCAAGACUUCGAAUCCAUAGUUUCCUAACAAAGAUCCAACAAAUAUCCAACAAAUAAAAUUCAUAGAAUCCGACAAAAAUCAGGUGAAAUCCACAAUUUAGAUGAUAGCUAUGGACCCAUGGUGAUGAAAAGGAAAUUCACCUGAAUUCUUUGAAAAUUGUGAGUUAGAAUUGAGUAAAUUUAGUUAGAUGUUAAAUUCAAGUUGACUCAGUGAAUUACAUUCGAGUUAGCUAAUAGAUCUUCAUUGAUAUUUUUAUGGAGUCGACAAACUGAUAAUAUCAAAACUCUUAACAUAUUAGUUAUACAGUUAAAUAUUGUUAUCAGUCUAAAUUUUUUCUUAACGCAGUACGUUUAAUUAUACAUGUUAACAUAUAUAUUAUACAAUUGCAUAACAUAUUAUCAACUAUAUACUUUAUUAGCAUGUUAAGUUUCUGCAUUUUUUAACACUGAGUUGAUAAAUUUGGUUUGAUAACAUGAGAAUAUCUUAAUCGGUUAACAUAUAAGUGAUACAAUUACAUAAAAUGUUAUCAGUCUAAAUAAUUUUUUAGGUCGUUGCUUUUCAUCUCAUACAUGUUAACAUAUAAGUUAUACAAUCACAUAAGGUAUUUUGCAAUUAUAUAAUAUGUUAUCGUGCUAAAUUUUCUUUUUUUUACACCUAUGAAUUGUUAUAUUUGGCUGGUUGAGUACCACAUNNNNNNNNNNNNNNNNNNNNNNNNNNNNNNNNNNNNNNNNNNNNNNNNNNNNNNNNNNNNNNNNNNNNNNNNNNNNNNNNNNNNNNNNNNNNNNNNNNNNNNNNNNNNNNNNNNNNNNNNNNNNNNNNNNNNNNNNNNNNNNNNNNNNNNNNNNNNNNNNNNNNNNNNNNNNNNNNNNNNNNNNNNNNNNNNNNNNNNNNNNNNNNNNNNNNNNNNNNNNNNNNNNNNNNNNNNNNNNNNAUACAAUCACAUAAGGUAUUUUGCAAUUAUAUAAUAUGUUAUCGUGCUAAAUUUUCUUUUUUUUACACCUAUGAAUUGUUAUAUUUGGCUGGUUGAGUACCACAUUGAAUCUAUUUUAUGUAAUAAUAAGGUAUCUAUUUUUCUGAGGCAAGUAAUUUAAAUCUGAGAAAAAACUUUGGUGAGAUUCCUACAAAUGUCACGGAAAAAAAAAGAGAAUGAAGCCUCAUAUAAAAAGAGAAAAAAAAGAGAGAGAGAGAAGGGAAGAGAAAAGAAGAGAGAGAGAGAGGGGAAGAGAAAAUAAGAGAGCGUCAUUUUAAAUUGAAGUACAGUAAAACCUCUAUAAAUUAAUAUUCGAUAAAUUAAUAAUCACUAUAAAUUAAUAAAUUUUGCUGGUUCCAAGUUGAGUCAAUGUAAAAAUCCAUCAAAUUCGAUAAGAUAAUAAGAUAAUAAUUUUUUUUGAAAUCCUUAUGUAAAUUUAUUGUCCCAACAAAAACAUAAAUUAAUAAAGAUAUAAAGUUAUGAAAAUAUAUGUAAAUACAAUAUUCUAAAAUAUGACUAAUGUUUUUGUCUUUACUUAAAGUUGAAAUCUCAUUGGUUUUCAUCUCUCUAAUUAUUAUAUCAGUAGCUUUUAUUGCUCUUUUACUAUAUACAUUCAACAUUUGUGAUGAUUUUUUGAUGUGAUAAUUUAUUUUUUUACCUUUAAAUGUUUUUAAAUGUAUUGUAGUAUUAUUUUCAUUUUUAUCAUCAGUAAUACUAAUAGUAGCCAUGGUUUUUUUUUAUAAAUUUUAAACUUAUGAACAUGUAUAUUUUUACACGGACAAUCCAAUAUGGUGUUAAAAACUAUUUUAUUGUGAUAGUUAUGAUUCUUAAUUAUAAUUUAUAUCAUGAGAUUUGUUAAAUUUUUAAAAUAUAAAAUUAUUAUAAAAAAUUUUUUAAAAAAUUAUAUGCGAAAAGCAAAUUUUCUCUAUAAAUUAAUAAUUAUCAAUUUAAAAAUAAAUUAAUAUCACGAUAAAUUAAUAAAUUAUUAUAGUCCCAACACUAUUAAUUUAUAGAGGUUUUACUGUAGUUGUAGUCCAACAUACACCAGCACAAGGGUACGAUUGGGAUUAAAAAAUGUCAACGGUACAAUAGUUUUCUCUUUGUUACUUCCCCAAUUAUAACACUUUUCUUGGUUAAAGGAUGCAAAUACCCUAAUUUUAAUUCAUCUAUUCGAUUAAUUCGAAAAAAGACUAUGAAUAUAAAAACAUAAUUUUACCCUAUAUGUUCAUCUUACCAUAUAGUCUAUAUUUUUUGAAUUUUAAAUAUUUAAAACUUAAAAUUAAUUAAUUAUAUAAAAGUAUAUAAUAAUAUACUAUUUAUUAUCUUUAGCGUUAUGAGAAUACUAUUUAAAUUUGAAUAUUUAAAAAGAAAAUAAAUUAAUAUCUUUAUUUACUAUUUUGUAAAAAUGAUAACAACUGAUUUUUAUAAUUUUGAUAAUUAAUCCUAAUUAUAUCUAAAAAAUCUAAACUAAUUGAAUUAAAAUUUAAAAUUUUUCGAAAUUAAUUUUGAAAGACAAUAUUCAAAUAUACUAUUUAAUAAUUUUUGAAAAUAAAUAAAACAGAUAAAUAAAAUUUAAAUUUUUAUUUGGCAACAUAAUUAAUAGAUAUCCAAAAAUAGAAUAAUAGAAAAUUAAAAAAAUCUAUUUGGAUACAAAACAUACUUCUGUUUUAAUAGAAAAGAUGGCUGUGAGUAUUUUUAAAAACAGUUUUUAGACUUUGACUUUUAAAUCAAUAAAACUUGAUUGACUAAUUAAUGGCUUCUAAAACUUUAACUAAAUUCUAUGCGUCCGCAUAGAAAUUUUUUGUUUUUUGCUUAUAAAAUUUUAUAAUAUAAUUUGUAUUUAUUUUGUGUUUAGAUAUAAUUUAUUUUGUAGAUUUAAUUUUUUAAAUCAAGAGUUUGUUAUCAUGUUUAAAUAAAAGUAUGAGUUAGUUAUGUAUAUUAAUGUAAUGUUAAUUGUAAAUUUUUAUUACAAAAUCCAAAGCAAUCUAAAUAAAUAUCUAUAUUUUCGAAAUAUAUUUAAAUAUAAAUAGUUUUGAAUAUUUUAAAUUUUAUGUUAAAUCUGAUCUCUAUAUUUGAGGAAAUUCAAAGUAAUCUAAAUAAAUAUCUUAAUUUUCAUAAUGAAAUAUAUAAUAUAAAUAUGUAUAUAAAAACUGUAUUUUUAGAUAAAUUGUAAUAAGUAAGAAUAAUUUUAAAUCUAUUUUAAACAUAAUUUUUCAAAAAAAUUUAAAAAUGUUUAGAAGCAAGCACUAAAAAUAUUUCUGUUUUAAUAUUAUGAAUUUUUUUAAAAAUCUCUACUUUGCAUCCUACCAGAAGGAGAUGGAUUUCCCUUUGUCAUUUGACCAUUUGGGUUGGAAAUAUUUUGGAAAAAGCCUUUUUAAAAACCAAAUUUCGGCCAUGUAAUUAUGUCCAAAAUUGUUUGUAGGAAAUUAAACAAAGUGAUAAUUAAAGAAAAGAAUUUUCCACUUCUUUUCUUAUAUUAUUUCCACUUCAUAAAUUUAGAGGAAAGUUUUUCCCCUAUUUUUUUGCAAUAAUUGUAGUUUGUGUAUGGUUUUGCUCCAAGAUCCGAAUAUAUUACGUUUCAUUCAUAAGAUAAUGUGCAUUCUUUUUUAAUUUCUAACACUAGAUUCUAACCCCGUGCAUCCGCACAGGAAUAUUUUUAUUGUUUAACGAAUUUUGUAAUAUAAUUUGUGUUUUUGAGUUUAGAUAUAAUUAUUUUUAUAAAUAUAUUUUUUAAUAAGUGAAAAUAUUGAUUUUUGUGUUUAGAUAUAUUUUUAUAGUAUUAAAAUUAAUUAUGAUUAUAAAAAUAUAAUUUUAACCCGUCCACUAUUAUUAAUUCAAAAUGAACUAUUAUAAAAAACAUAAUUCUAACUUUUCCGUUCAUAUUACUGUAUAAUAUAAAUAUUUGUUAAAAGUUUGAGAUGUAUUAACAGUAUUAUUUAGCAUUAUAGUUUUCUAGAAUUUACUCAACGAAAAGAGUGUACAACUGAUUUUUCAAACCACAUUAUAGUGUAUGCAAUAAUUUUUAAUUUUUUAUGUUUUGAUUUUGUAUGAAAAAUAUAUUUUUGAUAUACAUGUAUAAUUCAAAAUUAGUGAUUUUAGUUACCAAAAUAUUUUUAACCCGGUUUUUAUAUAUAUUUUUAGUUUUAUGAAUUUUUUAAAAAUAUAUUUUUAAUAUUUAAAUUAUACAUUUGAAUUUUACCUAUUAUUUUAUUAUUAAUUUGUAAAUAAAUCAUAAUCGUAAAUAUAUUAUAUAAGCAACAUAAAUAUCAUAUCAUUUACAUCAUUAUAAAUAUUUUAUAUUUCAAAUAUGACCAUCAUUUUUUAUAUGUGAAUUUUUCUUUUCAAAAAUUCUAGAUUUUUUUGAUAAAAAUGUUUAAUAGUAUAGAAAUUAUUUAAAUUAGAAUCUUUAAAUCAAAUCUAAAUUAAUAUCUGAUUUAUUAUUUUUAAUCAAAUCAAAUCAAAUCAAAUCUAAAUUACCUAUAUUUAAAGAAUUCUAAAAAUAUUUAAAUUAAUAACUAAUUUUCGAAAUUAAACACUUAAAAAAAAAUUAAAAAUGUUUGGAAGUAAAUACUAAGCGUGCUUCUGUUUUAAUAUAAUAGAUUAAACUGCAAGUUGUUUAGGUAGUAAAUUUGAAAAGUAUUAAUUGAUUGGAGUUUGGAGAUCAUUACAAAGGAAUUAAAAUUAUAAUGAAGACUAGACAAGUGACAAGACAAGAUAUAUGGUAGUAAAUUUGAAAAGUAUUAAUUGAUUGGAGUCUGGAGAUCAUUACAAAGGAAUUAAAAUUGCAAUGAAGACUAGACAAGUGACAAGACAAGAUAUAUGAGAAGAUAGAUAAAAGAGAAGAUAUUUAAAAGUCUACGAUGGAUGAUGCAUGUAUUACUAUGCAUAUUUAUGUAGAGUCCAUUUCUAUAAAUAAAAAACAAAAGUAUAUUUGAAUUUGUAUUAAUCUAAGGACUGUAUGGGUAAGUGGUUAACCGACUUUUUUUCGUUAAACAAUUUUUUUUUCGUUAAACAACUUAAAAAUCAUAAAGUGAGAACGUAUGAUCAAAAAUUAAAUUAGAUCUAAAGAGGACAAAAAACAGAAAAGAAACCCCUAGUUAAUUUUGUACAACCUUGACAUUGAUGACAAAGGUUCCAACAUGGAAAGGACCCAAACAAAAAAACAAAAAAGUUCCUACAUGGCAUUUGUACAACCUUAAUUUUUUUCUAAUAAAAAGUUGUUCAACACUUCAAAACAAAACAUAAAAACCAAAUGGAUUUUACACAUACUAUAAAACAUCCAAACAAACCCAAAAGAAAAUAAAAGAAAAAUGGAGAGAGAAGAGAGGAGAAUAUGAAAAGACAUCGAUACAGCUAAUAUUUAUAUAGAUCGCCGCCUAAAAGCCGAAACCAUCAUUUAAUUCACUACUACUACUGUUUUGCUUUCGUCAUCCGAAACGCCGCCGUUUUCGAUUCUCUCACCAAAGCAACCAUCAUCACUUCCUUCUUCACUCGCUUUGUCAGAAGACAAACAAGAGAUGUCAGUUUCAUCAUCACGAGCGUGACAGCUAUCUACCAUCGGUUUAUCCCCGAGGUCAACAACAAUGGAGAUAGGCACCGACAACAACCGCCCGUCACGCGGCGGCGAGAAAAGAACCGGCAUGUACUGCUCCAUCUCUGCUCCGGGAAGCCUCGCGUUCUUAAAAUGUUCCUUCAACGACUCAAUCCCCUUUCCCAUUAUAACAACAACAAAAAAACACCUUUUUAAACCACUUUAAUGUAAUAAUUAACAAGAGAUUCAAAGAUUUUGUUUUGUUUUUUCUUCUAAACCUGGACUCGAGCAUAAGUAACAGCACAGAUCUUUUUAGACUUGAAGACUCUCCAUUGUUUUUUGUGAAAGGCCUUGUAAAGCCUCCACACUGCUUCUGGAGUUGUCAUGUUCACAAACCCAUAUCCCACAUUGCAUUUGUUGCUUAUGAAACCGAAGGAAAUAUCAAGAUUUAAUCAGCCCAAUUUUAUCAUUAAACUACUUUUAAUCAAAACAGAAGUGGAAUGAUAUUAUUACCUGAAAUCAAUAGGAAGGUAGAGAAAGUCAUAGGAAGACAUGGGAGUAUUGUUCCCUUCGUUGAUUAUCUUUUGGUUACAGCCAUUGCAAUGUGUAUCCAGCACAUUCAAAAACUGCUUCUGACUAUAAACAAAAAAACCACAUUACAUAAAAAAAUUGACUAGUCGACAUCUGUAUACAAAAAUAGUAACAUUUGCACAUAAGCUCAACAAUAUAUCCGGAGGGUCUUGUUGACUUACGUCAAACCCAAGAUAAAAACAGAAACAAAGCAUUUCCUCGUUUUGGGACAUUAUUGUCCAAGCACAUGCACAUCACAAUCACAUAAGUAUCAAUGAAAAAGUCACAGCUUGCUUACGUAUACUUGUUGGGGAUGUUCUUGAUCAUGACGGUGGUUCGGCCGUCACGACCGGGCUCGGCGGUGGCGAUAGCGUUUUCCUUUAUGGUGAAGUAAUCAUCAACGCUAAGAUUCUUCUUCUUAUGAUUAGACCACCGUUUCCUAUAGCUGCUCUUCUGUUGUUUUUGCUCGUACCGUUGUUUAUCACCCACCGCGUUGAGCGGCUUCACCGGUGACGGUAUCCGGCGACGGUAAUGCUGAGGCGGCGGAGGCGGUGGUUGUGGUGGAUGAUGGUGGUGGUUGGAAAGGAAAUUUUUGUUGAAGCGUGAGGCGAGAUAGAAUUUUCUGUUGAAACCACCGGGACGGCUAAACUGGAUAGCGAUUUGUUUCCCGGCGAUAGAUUUUCCGUUCAUCUCACGGAGAGCUAUUGCGGCGUCUCUAACGUCGAAAAACUCAACGAAUCUCUGUUCUUUCUUGAACGGCGUGUCUCUCAGCUCUUUCACUUCCCCUGAUUCGACAAAAGAGAAAAAACAAUCAAUCUCCGUAGAAAUUUACAAAAGAGAGCAUCUUUGGUUUAAUAAAUCACAAAACCCUCAAAAAGUCGGGAGCUUUAUCAAAACCCUUAACAAAGUCGAGAGCUUUAUUAUACCAUAAGCCUGGAAAAUGUGACGGAGAGUUGUGGAAGAGACGGUGGGUUUCAAAUUCAUAAUCACAAGCGAUCCUUGGUUUUUCCCUUCGGGUACGGCCGUUACUUGCGGAAACACGAAAUGGGCCCACACUGUUCUUCCGGAGACGAGUCCACGCGCCGCCAUAUAACCACGGUUAAAAAGGACUUGUUGUUCUUGAUGCAUGUGACGCUCGCGUAUCUCCGUCAAUGCCCUUUGUGAGUCUCUCAGGUUGUAGAAAUAGACGGUCACGAUUCCUUCAUCUGCUAGCUCCAUUUGGACUCCACGCACAUCGCCGAACACCUCCAGGUCUCGCCGGAUAGAUGACUCGCUGACGUCAGGUGGUACUGGUAACAGCACAAGAGCUCUAGUCGGCGUAACCGAUGUCGGAGGAAGAUGAGAAGCCGGCGGAGGAAGGCCGGCUCCGACGAAAUUAGGGAAAAAACAAGGGUAAGGCGGCGGAGGAAGAGGAUGGUAGAUUUUGAUCGGAACAAAAAAAGGAAUCGGGUGUAAGUUCGCCGGUAAAAACGCCGGAGCUGUUGGGUUAAGGUUUCUUGGGUAACCGGUGACUGACAUGGCGGUUUAAAGAACUGGUUUAUCCGGUAACCGGUAACGGCUACUUUGUACUGAUGGGCGCUUGAUCUUCCCUAGUGAUCGUACUCUCUCGUCGUCUCUCUCUUUCUUUGAUGCUGCAGUGCAGGGAGAGCAAAAGUGGAAUUUGUGGUUUUGUUUUAUCCUGCAGAGGUUUUUAUUAUUAUUUCCAAUUUUAGUUUAUUUAUUCAAAAGUCAAGGUACUCACUCGUCCUAGGAGUUUACCAUUUUGCCCUCUGGGAGGAUUUCAUUGCAAUGGAAGAAGAUGUUUACAGGUGCGAUUGGUGUCUAAACACAUGCCAAAGUGCUAAAGAGUUAGUUUUUAGCGAUUUUGAAGAAUCGGUUAAAGAGAAAAUGGUUAACAUUCAAAAUGUUUUUCAAAGGUAAUAUUUUGAUUAUCUUUGACAAAUGGUUAACAUUUUAAAACGUUUAAAUUACCAACAGUUAAUGUCUCCUUAACCGAGCCUAAUAACCAGUUAACCAGACAUAAUUAAUAACCAAUUUCAACGCUAUGUGUAACAUGUACUUAUCUAAAAACAUAUUACAAAAAUAUAUUACAACACUUGUUAACAAACUAACUCCAAAAAACCUUGAUUUUUAAACCUAGAACACAAUUUCCUAUAAAUUGGGUGCCAUGAUCCAUGUAAAAUAAUAUACAGUUUGGAUUUUGGAUGCAAUAGUUCGUAUUGUCGUGUUCCUCAUUGUCACUGCAAAAGUUCAUGGGCCGAUUUGUCGUCUCUAAGUACAAAUUUUGUUUGUAUGGUUUUAUAUUUAUAUAUAUAUAUAUAUAUUAUUUUUUUCAUAAAUAUAUUGUUGUAAAUCAACAUACCUUUUCACGUAAAAAACAACGAAUAAAUCGAAGAAAACAGGAAGGAUGUUGGUCUAGUUAGCCAAGUAAAGGCAAAAUACCAGAAACAUUACAUUUGCUUUUUAGCCAUUUAGCCUGAUCUAGCCUUUUGUUUCAUAUAUUUUAUUAGGAUUUCUACAGUCUCCUAUUUACAGAUUUACUGUAUUGAGAAAUAAAAAUAUGGAUAGUCUGGUUCUGACCAAAGAAAAAGAACAUCUCCAAUGAUAAGCUCUAAAAGUUUUUAAAUUUUAGGGAAUUUAAAAUAAAUCAAAAAUUAAUUAAAAAAUAAGAACUAAUUCUUAAAAUUCUUAUUUGAAAACCUCAUUCUUCAAAGGUUUUACACUUGUCAUCUUUUCAUUAGUCUAUUUUUAUUUUUAGAAAUAAAAUUUAAUUAAAUAAUUAUACUAUAUUAUAAUAUUUAUUUGUUUAAAACUCCAAAAUGAGAGCUCCACCAUUGGAGAUGGUCUAAAUUCUAAAAUUUCUUAGUUAUAACUUAUACUAAAAAUCGCUUAUGUUUUUAAAGAAAUUUAAGAAUAAAAAUAUGGUACUACCCUUGUUACAAAAAAAAAUGGUACUCGGCUGAAUGUUUUUAUUUUUGUUUCUCUUAACGACAAAAUGAUAUUUUAUAUACUAGAAAGAAGAAAUAAGUUACAUGAGUAGAAUACACGGAUGAUUUGGAAUUAAAGAUUUAAAGUAAUACAUGGAUGCAAUAAAAUCUGCUUUCAAAUAUGCAUUACACAUAUGUUAAUUAUAAGUCUCAUGCAUAUACGUGUGUGUCUACCGUCUACGUAUAUACAGUGGCGGAGGUAUAUAGAAUGAGUUGGGGCAGUUGCCUCCAAUAAAAAAAUAUUUAGUGUAAAUUUGUAACAAUAAUACUAGUUGUUCCCACACUAAAUAAUAAAUAUGUUUUGCCCCCAAUGAAAAAAUCUUCUGACUCCGCCACUGCGUAUAUAUAUUAGAUGCAUCCGCUGCAUCCUACAUAUGAGAAUUGAGUUAGAGGGUAGGACCAAAGAGGGACCCUGAGCAAAUCCUUAUUUUAAGGAAUGUUAUUGUUACCUACUUCCUUGUUUUUGGGCUGUCAUUUGUUUUUGUCUUUUUUAUGCCAUAUCCUUCAUUUAUUACAUGAACGCAUCAGCUGAUAAAAAGUUUAUGUGAAACUACAAUAUCUUCUUUACCUUAUUUGAGAAUUUCGAAAAGAAAAACAAAAGUUGAGACGUUUAUUUAGUAAAUUUUAAGUAAUUUAUUGUUGUUUUUUUUGUUUGAAACUCUAUUUCAAUUAAUUCAUUAUUUACACUUAUCUCAUUGAACCAAAGUAAUAUGGUGUUCAUAAGAAUUAUCGUUGCUAAAAGGAAAAAAAAUAGUAUCACACAAAAUACUCCAAUAUCGUCUAAAACUUCAAGAUAAAUUUCACCACAUACCAUUACUUUUUACAUUUUAGUUUUAGAAUAUCUUGUAAAUUAUCUGGCAAUCUUAAAUCUCACCAAGUAUAUAUCAUUAAAAUUUCUCAAAAUCUAAAAUCCACCGAGUUACUUAAAAUUCUUAGUCCAAAACAUUCCCCUUACACACGAGACUACUCAAUGAUGGCUCCACAUCGUCUUCUGCCAUAGAGGUGUAUUCUAAGUUCCAUAGAAGUGUCUUCUGCCUCAGAGUUGCAAGUCUGCUUGCACGUAACAACAGUUGAGAUUACUUUCAUGAACCCCAAUAAAAAAAGACAACCACAUAUAUAUAUAAUAUACAAUUGCAACAGAAGUUUCUUAAAUACAAGUCCAAAACUGGAAGAGAAACAAACAAAGAGAGAGAGAAUAAUCUUGACCUUAGCAUGAGUGAUAAGACCACCAUGUCCCAUACUUUUAUCCUUUUCAGAUUUGCCUUUAGCUGAACGAGACAGACGACCUAGAUCAUUUCUUUCGAUCUCUCUCAACCGCUCUUCAAGCUGUGAGGCAUAAACACGUACCAGAAAUAUCAUCAGAUACGAGGGAAAAAUUAUUAUCCAAGACUAUUCAGAGAGAGCAAGACGAAAACUAUUGAAAAGUGUUACCUUAGCUAGGCUUUUAAGUCUUACUGUGUUAUCUUUGCCAUCCCCAAGAGCAUCACAUCUAACAGCUAGAGCUAUUUUAGAAGUUAAAGACCGCAAGAACUUUCCCUUGAGCUUUGGUGCUGCUUGACCAACCAAAGGUGCAUGGUACUUGAGUGAUCUAAAGGUAUAUCCAUUGGUUCCGAGAAUCUGAAUCUUACUCCCAGGUUGCUCGGCGAGGUUGAGUAAACCACCUCCACGAGAAAUUAGACGAGCACCGACUAGCUCUCCAACCAAGGCAGUAAGAUUGGGAGCAACCGUGUUCAUUCUGCUCUUCAGGUCAUCGUGAAGCUUGGUUCUAUCCUCAGUCAGAGAAACAACCUGGUCACAGAGUUCUAAAAUGUGCUGGUCACUGACUUCUUUUCCUCUAGAUAUCACAGCAGCUUCCUUCAAUUGUGCCUCAAUCUCAUCCUCUAAUAUCUGUAGCCCAACCAGAUGAUCAUUAGCAGGGCCGUGGGCCGUGUAUACGUUACGGAGAAACAUUGGCUUAGGCCUAAUUUUAAUAAAAUACUUAUAAAAGUUUUUUUUUUACAAAAUUUAUUAUACUAUAAUUUGAAGUUUGUGUUUAUUUUUUUCAUUCAUAAAAAUCAUAAAAAAAUCUAAUUAAUAUUGCUUGUAAAUGUAUACUUUAUUAUACAAAAUUUCUUUCAACAAAUUAAUUAUAGCAAUAGUCAUUUCUGAUUUAGUGGUCAUUUUGUAUUAACACUAAUUGGAUAAGAUGCUUAUAGAGAAUUUGUAUGUUGUUAUUUGUUAGUGAUUAUGAUUGUAUUUUCAUAUUUUAUUUUUAAUCAAACAGUAUAUUACAAAAUUAUUUUUAAAAAAAACAAAUAAGUUAAGAAAAUAAACGAAGUAAAAACUACAUUAUCUAAAAGUCUACUACUAAAUUUAUUCAAAGUAAAUGAAAAACUUAUAUAUUCUAAAUUUUAAUUUGAGAUAAACUAUAUAUUGACUAGUUCAUAUUCAAUUCUUAAAUCUAUGUUAGUUUUGGUCUGGUUUAAUACAAUCAAAAAAUUUAUUUAAUCAAAGUGAAUUUGGCAACUACCAAAAAAAAGUUUGGUUAAUAAAGUAUGUGAAACUUUGAAGAAUUAUUGAAUUUUUCAUCUAACAAUCAUCAAAAUUUGAUUUACAACGAACAUCAAAAUUUGAUUUACUACAAAAAUUUAUUAAGGUUCAUUGAUAGAUGAUUUUUUUUUUACACACAUAAACUAAAAACUGGAUAAACCAAACCAAUAUUCACACAUUAGACUAUUUUGCGUGUUGAUUUGGAAAUAAAUUCAUUUAGCAUAUACUCAAGUAUUUGAGUCUUAUUUUAUAUAGUUUAGUAAAAUUAGACAAAUGAUCAAAAUUUUAUGACCAAUUUUUGCACAAUCAUUUUGUUUUGUUUAUAGUUUUUUUUUUUUUAAAUUACGACUAUGUCUAGGCACGACUCUAAUCAAAAGACAUGAUGUCCAGUUAACAGAGGUUCUUUAAAUAAUUCAUAAAGUGAAAGUUACCUUAAAGAAAUCAACAAACUUAGCAUUCCUCCGGUUUCCCAUCAAUUUAACUGAUUUCGCAUAUAGUAAAUUGUCUUCAAUGAUUUUUGCAAGUUGGGAGAAAUGCGUCUUAUACUGUUUUUUAAGCAUCAGUGCAUGUGUUUUCAGUUUUUUGUCAAGAUCAUCGAGCAAAACCGAUAGCUUCUAUAAUCAUAUUAUCCUCCACCUGACCAAAAAAAAACUUUAAGAGUUGAGAUGCAAGAGAAGCAAUGACAAAGAAAAAUUAAAAUUCAAAAGAUCACAUGCUAGUUCUAAACAGAAAAUUCAGAGCAAUUAAAGCUUAAAUCCAAAAACAAAUCAUAUGCCUUAGAAGAUACCGGGCUGUGAGACGAGCCCAAGCUCAUAGGAGACAAGUCGUGAUCACCCAAACCAUAUAUGAGUUCUGUGAACAGUCUCCUAACACCUUGUAGAAACUCCAUUACAGUAUUGUUGAGAACACAAUGGAUGUUCUCUAGGAGUUAAAACUUUUAUCAGAAACCUAUCCUCACAUGCGUGAAAGAGAGAACAAAAGAGACUCAGUUACCUGAAUUAAACAAAAAUGCUGUGCUGCAUCAAUGUGAGCACUACAAGAAAUACGAGAAAUACGCUUGAUAGCAUCCGUAUAUUAGGGUUAAUUAGUAAACCGAUAUUAAAAAAAAACUAUGAGGAAUGUACAUUAUUUGACGUUUAGAAUUUAUAUUGUUUUAUGUUGUCUCAGACUCUUGAAAAAUUGGUUUAAAAUCCAUUACAUAAAGGCCCACUAAAUAAAAAACAGUCUAAAAAGAAGAAAGAAUGUUCAUUUAGUGUAUAUACAGAAUUAUGCUCUGAUAUUUCGAGAAUUUUACGAGUAAUACAUUUUAGAUGUUAUAUAUGAUAUAGGUGAGAAUAUAUAUAUAUAUAUGUUUAUAUAUUUAUUAUUAUAUUAUAUUAUUUUGGAUGGUGAGAUUAGAAGGAGAAGAACGAAGGAGAAAGAAGAGAAGAUCUUAUGUUUUACUUAUGUAACUUAUAAAGUUUACAACAGGGUAACAACAUAUUUAUAGCAAACAUUAAUGAAUAUAAUAGAAGGAGUUACCGACUUACUAAGUCGGUUUAUGGCAGUGAAAGUGGAUAAUUAUCUCCACUUGUUUUUUAUAACACUCUCUCUUAAUUAUCUAUUACUGCUAAUGUAUUAUGUAUUGUCUCGUUAAAAACCUUAUUAUGGAAAAAUUGAAUGGAAUAAAAACCAUGACAAGGGAAAAAGAGUACAGUAACGUAAUCUCACCCUGGAAUGAUGGAUAUAACAUUCUCUUCAUAAAUCCCGCAAAUGACGCAUUUCGAUACUUUGAAUAUGCUUUUUGAAUACUGUAGUAGGAAGCGCCUGUAAAGAGGUCCGCCGCUUUGUCACAUGAACGAACAUACUGGAUAUUGACUUCUUGAUUCUUCUCGAGCUCUUGAGUAUAAGAGAAAAAUCUUAGAAGAAUAUGUUUUGUUCUGUCACUUUUGAUGUAGCCUUCUUUUAGUUGAGCAACACAUGCAGCAUUAUCUUCGAACAAUCUUGUCGGUUCUUUGUUAAUGACUAUUCCGCUUGUUUCUUGUAUAUGAUGAGUCAUAGAUCUGAGCCAAACGCAUUCUCUACAUGCUUCAUGAAGCGUAAUAGUUUCUGCAUAAUUUGAAGAAGUGGCGACUAAUGUCUGCUUUUGAGAACGCCAAGAGAUUGCAGUUCCUCCAAAAAUGAAAACAUAUCCGGUUUGAGAUCUAGCUUUAUGAGGAUUUGAUAAAUAGUCUGCAUCUGCAAAACCGACUAAAGCAAGUUUGGAGUUUCUAGGGUAAAACAAUCCCAAGUCAAUUGUUCCUUGAAGAUAACGGAAUAUAUGUUUUAUUCCAUUCCAAUGUCUGCGCGUAGGAGAAGAACUAUAUCUUGCUAGUAAAUUUGUAGCAAAUACUAUAUCCGGUCGGGUACAAUUCGCAAGAUACAUAAGCCUACCAAUAGCGCUCAUAUAAGGUACUUCAGGACCUAAUAUUUCUUCGUUAUCUUCACAAGGCCGGAAUGGAUCUUUUUCCGUAUCGAGAGAUCGAUUAACCAUUGGAGUACUCAAAGGAGUCGAUUUAUCCAUACAAAAGUGUUUUAAUAUCUUUUUAGUAUAAUUUGAUUGAUGUACGAAUACUCCAUCUCGGAAAUGCUCUAUUUGUAAUCCAAGACAAAAUUUUGUCUUUCCGAGAUCUUUCAUUUCGAACUCUUCUUUCAUGUGAGUUCUUGCAUCAUCAAUCUCUUUUGAGUUCCGAUAAUGUUCAGGUCAUCCACAUAAACAGCAAUGAUCAUGAAUCCUGACGAAGAUUUCUUAACAAAAACGCAAGGGCAAAUUGCAUUUAUUACAUACCCUUUCUUUAAUAAAUAUUUGCUUAAGCGAUUAUACCACAUGCGUCCGGAUUGUUUUGAUCCGUAAAGUGAUCGCUGUAAUUUAACCGAACAUAUUUCUUUCGAUUUAGAACUUAAUGUUUCAGGCAUUUUUAAUCCUUAUGAGAUUUUCAUAUAGAUAUCAUUAUCAAGUGAUCCAUGUAAAUAUGCUGUCACAACAUCCAUUAAAUACAUUUCUAGUUUCUUAGAUGCCGCAAGACUCAUCAAAAAUCUAAAUGUAAUGACAUCCAUAACCGGAGAAUAUAUUUCUUCAUAAUCAAUUCCGGGUCUUUGAGAAAAUCCUUGAGCAACAAGUCGGGCUUUAUAUCUUGUCACCUCAUUUUUCUCAUUUCUUUUCUUACAAAAACCCAUUUGUACCCAACCAGCUGUACAUCUUUAGGUGUUGUAACAAUAGGUCCAAAAACUUUUCUUUUAUUGAGAGAGAUCAAUUCUGUUUUUAUGGCCAUUUUCCACUUCUCCCAAUCAAAUCUUUUAUGGCAUUCCAAAAUGGACCUUGGAUCUGGAUCAUCAAUUUCAUAUUCGAUUUCUUUGCAUACAGAGAAUGAGAAUAUUCCAUCACUAUCUUCUAUAUCAUCUCUAGCCCAUAAUAUCCCAUCUUGGGCGUAAUUGAUGGAAAUCUCAUGAUUUUCUUUGUCAUUCUCGUCUUCAGAACCUUUUUCUGUAUGUGGUUCUUCUGGAUCAUUUUCAUUUUGUUUUCCCAAUUUCUUUUUCUUUCGGGGAUUUUUAUCCUUUGAGCCAAUCGGCUUCCCCCUCUUUAACUGAACUUUGGGUUCAUUUGCUAUUUUUCCAUCAUUUUGUUCUUCCGGAACAUUAAUUCUCGAUGGAACAUUUGCAACGGGUAUAUAUGACUUUGUCACCCUUUUCGUAUCUGUGAACGCAUCUGGUAUUUCAUUGCCAUAUUUUGUAAAUGAACAAUUUUCUGAACUUCGAGUUCACGUUGUUUCGUAGGGGGAUCAAGGUGCAACAAAGAUGGUGUGCACCAUGUAACAUCUUUUGGAACUUCUUUAAUUCCUCCCCCUAACACUGGAAAUUCAUCUUCAUUAAAAUGGCAAUCGGCAAAACGUGCCGUAAACAUAUCACCAGUUUGCGGUUCAAGAUACCUAAUUAUACUUGGUGAUGUAUAACCGAUAUAUAUUCCCAAUCUUCUCUGUGGCCCCAUCUUAGAUCUCUUCGGUGGGGCUAUAGGAACAUAAACCGCACACUCGAACACACGCAGGUGGGAUACAUUUGGCUCCUGGCCAGAUGCUAAUUGUAUUGGGGAAUAUUUAUUAUAAGAACUCGGUCUUAUCUGAAGCAAUGCCGCUGCAUGCAAGAUAGCAUGACCCCAUACUGAAACUGGGAGCUUUGUUCUCAUAAUUAACGGUCUAGCAAUGAGUUGUAACCGUUUAAUCAAUGAUUCAGCCAUGCCAUUUUGUGUGUGAACAUGUGCAAUAGGAUGUUCAACAUCAAUUCCCAAUGACAUACAAUAAUCAUUAAAAGCUUGGAAAGUGAAUUCACCAGCGUUAUCAAGUCUUACUUUCUUUAUCGUAUAAUCAGGGAAUUGUGCUCUCAACCUGAUUAUCUGGGCAAUGAAUUUUGCGAAAGCCGUAUUUCGUGUUGUCAAUAAACACACAUGUGACCAUCUACUGGAUGCGUCAAUUAAUACCAUAAAAUAUCGAAAUGGCCCGCAUAGUAGGUGAAUAGGCCCACAUAUAUCAGCAUGUAUUCUCUCUAGGAAUACUGGAGAUUCAUUCUCGAUUUUAGCUGGAGAUGGCCGAGUUAUAAGUUUUCCUUGAGAACAAGCAUUACACAUAAACUCUCCCGAUUGAAAAAUCUUCUGGUUUUACAACGGAUGGCAUUAGAAUUUUCCACAAUUUUCCGCAUCAUGACUGAACCAGGGUGCCCUAAUCGUUCAUGCCAGAUUUUAAAUGUACUUGUUAACUUCGGGUUUACAUAACAUAUGAUUCAGUCAUAUUUAUCUUUGUGGAAUAUAUUCCGGAGGAUAAUGCUGGUAAUAUUUUCAGUACAACUUUUCUCUCUGAAAUAACUGAUGUAAUACAAAGAUAUGCAAUGCCGUUCUUAUUCAUAGUUUCUAUGUGAUAUCCAUUUCUGCGGAUAUCUUUGAAACUUAACAAAUUUCUGUAAGAUCCAGGGGAAUAUAACGCAUCAUUUAUUUCAAACUUUGUUCCCCUUGGCAUUGAAAAACUGACUCUUUCGGAGCCCAUAAUAAUUUUUGCAUUACCAAAUAUUGUAUUCACGCUUUCAGCGGAAUCUUUCAUAUUAAGAGAGGAGAAAUACUUUUUAUCUUUUAAUAUUGUAUGCGUUGUAGCACUGUCUGCCAGACAUAUCUCCAUCCUCAAUCUUAAUCUUUGACAUUUUCUGAAUUCAAAAUAUUCAUAAAAGAAAAAUUAAUAUAGCAAAACAAAAGAGUUUAUAUUACAAUAAAAACCUUUUUAUAACAAAAGAUACAUUUUUAAACAUUAUAUUUUACAUUUUUAUUUUUCACACUAUGUAUACAUCAUGUCACAUCUUCUUCUUCGAGAAGAUUUUAUUCGUUUUGUUUUUCGUUGAUAUCUUCAGGAUCAACGAUGAAAUCAGAUAUAUCGAGAUUUGUGUCAUCGUUUAUACCAUCAAAAGAAAAACUGGAUUCACCAUUGAUGAAGUUGGUUUCACUUUCUUUUCCUUUUGCCUUUUGCGAUUCUUGGUACAGAUCGGUUAAAUGUUUUGGCGUACGACAGGUACGGACCCAAUGUCCUUUCAUGCUGCAUCUGUAGCAAGCACUCUCAUGUUGCUUGCAACCAACUUCAUUACCUUUGAACUUUUUGUUAUUUCUUCCAUCGUUUAAAUCAGCAGGACGGAAUCUUCUUCCUCGUCCACGACCUCGACCACGUCCAAAACCUCGUCCACGACCAUGAUCAUUUCCGCGACCGCGUCCACGUCCACUUUGCCAAUUUUCAUGGCUUGACGAUGCAACAUUCACUUCUGGGAAUGAAGCUGAUCGAGUUGGACGAGUUUGAUGGUUUAAAAUCACGAGUUCAUUAUUUUGUUCUGCCACCAAGAGAACUUGUUUUAACUCCGAAUACUUCUUGUAUCCGUUUGCCUGGUAUUGUUGCUGCAGGACUACGUUUCUAGGAUGAAAUGUUGAGAGAGUUUUCUCAAUCAUAUCAUGAUCACUUAUAUUUUCUCCACAUAACAUUAUUCUGGAAGUGAUUCCAAAUAGAGCGGAGUUAUACUCACUAACGCUCUUAUAGUCUUGGAACCGGAGGUUCAACCACUCAUAUCUAGCCUUUGGUAAAAUCACAUAUUUCUGGUGAUCAAACCUAUCUUGGAGUGAUUGCCAAAGAUCUGCAGGAUCUUCUUUCGUGAUAUAUUCAUCUUUUAAACCAUUAUCGAUAUGGUGGAAUAAAAAGAUCAUGGCUUUCGCCUUUUUCUCUUCAGGAGUUGUUUUUGUUUUAUCGAUGGUAUCAAGGAGCUCAUUUCCUUUUAAAUGCAUCCUUGCAGCUACUGCCCAUCUUAUAUAAUUUUUUCCAGAAAUAUCAAGAGCAGUAAUCUCGAGUUUUGUCAAAUUCGACAUGAUAACUGUUAUCAAUAUAACAAUUUAAAAAUUGGGUUAUAAUUUAUUUUUAUAAAAAAAAAUUCUUUUCGAUAUAGGAAUGGUAUAAGAACGGUUCGUGCUGAUAACGUUUUAGAUAUUAUAUAUGAUAUAGGUGAGGAUAUAUAUAUAUACGUAUAUAUAUGUUUGUAUAUAUAUUAUUAUAUCAUAUUAUUUUGGAUGGUGAGGUAAGAAAGAGAAAGAAGAGAAGCUCUUAUGUUUCACUUAUGUAACUUAUAAAGUUUACAAUAGGGUAACAAUAUAUUUAUAGCAGACAUUAAUGAGACUUACUAAGUCGGUUUAUGGCGGUGAAAGUGGAUAAUUAUCUCCACUUGAUUUUUAUAACAGAAUUAAAGAAGUUCCAAAAAAUGUUACAUGGUGCAACCGAAGUUUUGUUUUUGUUUUCAAUUCAAUUAUAUAUCUAUCAAUCGGAAUUGUGUUUCCGAUUUCUUCCAUUAUCGGAACUUUACGAGCUUCUGAUUGCUUCCGAUCUCUUCUAUUUACGAUCUUCUUCAUCUAAGCUGCUGUGGAUUUCCGAUUUUGUUGAAUUCAGUCUCUGUUUGGAUUCAAGCUCAGAGGCGGAGAAGCAUAACUAAAAUUAUGUUUUAUAGAAUGUUGAUUCAGAAGAAAGAUUUGAUUAAAGCCAAGUAAACGAUGAAGAGGCUGAUUCGAGUCUUCCUUAUGGUCGAGGAUAUGAAGUUUUAUAGCUUGUUUGAUUAUCGUUUUCUAUGUUUAUCCUUGCUCAGACAUCCUCAAAAUUGGAAAUGAUUAUUAGUAGUGUCUUGUUGUUGUUGAUUUGGUUUAUAGAAAUUUCCUUCUGCAACAAGCUUUCUCUAACUUUUGGCCAAGUGACAGAAGGUGAACCAUUGGUUCUGUCUCCUUUUCAUUACACAAUAGACAGUGUUUUUUUUUGUUUGGAUUGGUUCUACAUGUAUAUAAAAAGUUAUUCUAGAGAAUGUUUAAGUUAUUUUAGUCAAGCCUGAUGGAAUGAUGAUUUAAGUUGAUUAUGAACGUUUGUGAGAUGGUAUCAGUGUUUAGUUUCGUAGUGUCUGCUUAGGGACCUAGUAAUGUUGCUGAUUAAUUAUGGUAAAUAUUACUCAUCUGAAUGUUGUGGCUUUGGUUAUGUUUGUGUAUUUGCUAGGAUUCUUUAUUUGAAAUUCAUCAUCGAUGCCGUUGCUUGACUUUCUUGCUAAUACGCUGGUUUUGAAUAUUGUUUUAGGCAAGAGGAGAAAGGAAACACAUUUUACUACUUUACAGUUUAGCUGAAGUCGCUGUGAAAGCGGUUCUUGCUGUUGCUGAUUUAGAGAGGAAGGAUGUUAAUUUGGAUCGUAGAGGGAAAAGUUUGGGGGUAAGCUAGAGGACAUUGAUAUAUGAGAUUUUUGGUCGAUAAGGACAUUGCAGAUGCCAACAUUGCUAGGACUCGAGCCACCGAAGCUGAAGACAAAGCAUAUGUGGACAUUGACACAGUGGAGAAGUUUGAGACUUUGCACAAGCAAGAGCAGCAAUAUUUUGAUGAGAUGGUGCAAAAGUGCAAGGUAGGUUUUAAGUGUAGCUUUAUAUUCUUUGCAUGGCCUACUGGUUGUUAAGCUAUGGGAGACUGUAUGUUCUUCUGCCAAAGAAUGUUUUCCUUUCUACAAAAAGUAGUAGGUUACGUCACAAUGCAUUUUUUUCAAUGUAAUUAUAAUUCUUAUGGCUUUGAAAUGUAGGAUGUUGGUGCUACACUGGUUAUUUGUCAAUGGGGUUUCGAUGAUGAGGCAAAUCAUCUACUGAUACACAGGAAUUUCUCCGCUGUCAGAUGGGCUGGGAGUGUUGAGUUAGAACUUAUCGCCAUUGCCACGGGUGGGUUUAUAAUUCCAAGCAGAAGUUGCUGUUGGUGCAUGUGUUGUAACCAGCCCAAUUAUAGCUCUUUUUAGUGUCUUUAUCAGUUAUCUAGAGCUUAUGGGAUAUAUAUGUCUCUUUUAUAGGCGGGAGAAUUGUUCCGAGAUUUCAGGAGUUGACCUCAGAGAAGUUAGGGAAGGUAUGGUUACUCUCAGUAGCAAAAUUCGCUAUUAUAUAACAGGUUCCUCCAUUUUAUUGAUUUUUUGGCAUUCCAACUAUGUGUUUAGGCUGGUUUGGUUCGCGAGAAGUCAUUUUGCACAACGAAAGAGCGUAUGUUGUAUAUUGAGCAUUGUGCAAAUUCAAAAGCUGUUACCAUAUUCGUUCGGGAGGUACAUCCGCGGGACUGAGCCUUAUGUCUCCUUCUCGUAUAAUUACUACUGUGUUGUGACUGAAAUAUCUGAUGACUAAAGAUACGUAAUGAAGAUAAGAUUGUACAGGUUAUUGCAGAAUUGACUGGUGGCUAAUUUGCUUUGCCAUUUAGAUAACAAAAUGAUGAUAGAAGAAACAAAACGCAGCAUCCACGAUGCUUUGUAUGUAGCACCGAAUCUCAUCCGUAACAAUUCAUUUGUAUAUGGUGGUGGUGCAGAUGAAGUGCUUAAGACACAAUGGUUUCUAUAUUUGCAGCAUCCAAUUAGAGCGUUUGCAGAAGCCUUGGACUCUGUCCCUAUGGCUCUUGCAGAGAACAGUGGGUUGUACCCCAUCGAAACACUCUCAGCUGUAAAAUCUCAGCAAAUUAAUGUAAGUGAUUGAUGAGUUUCGUCUUGUUACAACUUAAAUAAUUGGCUUGUUACUGUGAAGGAUAUCGAGUUAUAUUAAUAAAAUGGAUUAUUUCUGUAGUUGAAUUUUCAGGAGAACAUUACAUUCUACGGGAUAGAUUGCAACGAUGUAGGAAUAAACGAUAUGAGAGAGCAAAACGUGUUUGAAACGCUAAUCGGGAAGCAGCAACAGAUCUUACUUGCAACACAAGUUAUUAAAUUGAUACUCAAGAUUGAUGGCGUAAUCUCCCCAUCUAAAAUCUAAAUAUUGAUGAUGUCUUUCUCCCUCAGUUUAGCUUGUUUCUUUUUUAUUCCGCAAUACAUAUGUAAGAACAUACCGUAGAUCAUUUUCCACUGUGGUUAAGUGUGCUGAUUUUUAUUUAUCCAGCAUGCAUUUCUGUGACAUUCGAAGACUCACGUGUACUGGUUCAGGGACUUGAGUGUUUUUGGUCCCUCAAGUAAAAUCAAACCAUUCAUAAAGAUGAACAUUAAUGAGUAAGAAAAUAUAACUGUUGGAGGUUGAAGUUGUGCAGGUCCUACAUUAAUGUAACUGAGGAAUCAUUGGUUUUGUAACGUUUUGUGUUAGUAAAAAAAAAUGUUGGUGGGUCGAAUCAAAUUUCACAGGCUUGAAAGUCAAAUAACGCUCUGUACCUUUUGUUUCUUGCCGACAAUGCUUCAUGAAUGCUUCAUUAAACUUCUUUGUUUGUUUGGUUAAAACCAAAUUUUGAUAAUUUGGAUCUUAGCAGUGUUGCGCAUGAGUGAAGAGAAAAAAACACUGAAGAGUGUAUUAUAGCUGAAAAUAAUCUUGGAUUGAGACACAUUUGAAGUGAAACAUGACUCUUGUGUUUUUUUUUUCUUCUUCUUUUACAUAUAAACAAGUUACGAUGAACGUCAAGGUUGUGUCCCAUUCUAAAUUCCAACAAAAAACAAAACUAUCACAUGGUCUCACAAUUAGUGUAUUUAUUCCAAAUUAGCACAAAAUCUCAAAUUAACAAAAACAGAAAGAUAUAAAUAAUUCUCCACCGACAAUGAUUAAUCCUAUAAGGAGGAAAAUUAUAGGAUUCUCAUUCAAUAUUAACUUGGAAUCCGUGAGGUCGGGCGAUUUUUGAACUUAUUACAUGAUUACUUAGAUAAAAUCAUAAAAGCAACAUUUAAUGUAUCACUUUGAAAAGACUGAAGUUCUCAUUUGGUUCAUUCUUCUUUAUUGUAAUAAUUGUCUAACGCAGAAUUCAAUUUCUUCUCGUCUCGGGAACACAAUAGCAAGAGGCAAGAGCAAGAUCCAGAUCUGGUCCAAUUAGUGGAGAUUCUGUUUUUUGAGUUUUGUCAGAUUCACAAAAACCACACUUGCCUCUCUCACUUAUUACAGAUCUUGCAGACAAAUUAAAUGCUAUCCCAAAAGUUAGAUAUGCCCAUGUUACACUCAAACCAAGGAAACCAUAUGAAUAUAUUCUCUACUAGGCCACAAUGAAUUUCACAUUUCAACCACAAAUGUACAAUCCGGUUAAUAAUUUGGUUUUCGGUUAAACUUUUAUGAUCUCUGAGGUAAUGUUUGUAAUGGAAAGACUGUUAACACACGGAUUUUAAUAAUUAAGCUGUUGAUCAUAUUUAUUACAAUAUAAUUAAUCAACAUUCUUGUAGCACUUGUACAUACAUCCCUCCACACCACAACAUACAUUGGUCCCUACUCCAAAAAAGUUUAAAAGAAACCCAUUGGUCCUAAGGGAAUCCAUACAAAUACUUUAGUAUACACAUCAAAUCCAACUUACAACUUUAACCCUCCCCAUAAUAAAACUAAAGGGUAACGAAAAAUUGAUAAAAAGAGGACCAACAUAUCCUCUUUUUUGCUUUAAUUAGAUGCAUUAUGUAUAACUUGAGUAGAUGGAUCGAAUUAACAUCGUUUUCCUUUUCUACAAUAGAGUGCACCAGCAUUGCCAGUGACCGAAGCCACCAACGAGGAUGGUCUAGCCGACAAACUCGAAGCCUUGGCAUAGCUUGAAGAGGAUCUACCACCCGAGGGCGUAAAAAACGCACCGUUUAAGAACAAGUCACCUUCUGAUCUCCAAUUCCAUUUCUUCCAUUUGCUUUGUGGUGCAUCUUCGUAUUUAGUCACCUAUAUUUUUUUCCAAGUUGUAAUUCAAUACUCUCAUAUAUAUAUGAUUAAAAAUAGAAACAUAUUAUAAAACUACUAGCUCUAAAUAAUUACCUCUUUGAAGACUCUGUUGUUAGGAGCAAGAAACCUAUUCCCUUGACUGUUAAUAGUCGGAGCUGCACUCCCACCAAUUGCAUACAUUAGCCAGUGCGUAUAAUCAUUAUUCACCACAUGAAAAUAUCCAUGCCUACAUCUGUAAAAUUCCCCCAAAAAAUUACAAGACAUUAGCUCAAAUAAUAUACAAAAAAUAAUUAGGGACUUUGUUUCGCACAAAAUAUAUAAAAAAGUAACUUUUUUUUACCUAGGCAUUCUCUGAACAAGCCCUUCACCGAAAUGGUUAAAGGCAAUGGUGACUUGCAUGUUCUUGUCUCUCGUGUACGAGUCACUGUGUCCCAAAAGCAUCACUUUGUUAUGGUGCGUCAAGUAAUUAUUAGAGAUGGUAAUGGCCGUUGAUCCAUGAAUCGCGUCGAUCAGACCGUCCGCACAAUUAGACAACGAGCAGUGGUCUACCCACACGUGUGACCCACCGAAUAUCGACACGGCGUCUCCAUCAGACGCCGUUCUCCACCCAUAAUGCGACGGAGAAUCUCUAACGUAAGCAUUGCCUCUCUUCUUGCAGUCGUGGAUGUUAAUGCCGUGGAUGAUGAUGUUGGUCACGUACUGGACGGUGAUGCACGCGCCUCCUGCGAUGUGGACGCUCGCUCCACGACCAUCUAUGGUUUUGAACGAGUUCAUGAUCAGCUCUUCUUUAAGUUUUAUGACCAUGUCACGUGCGAAUAUGAUCCACAGGGGCUCGUCCUGGAUCACUGCAUGUCUUAGGGUUCCGGGUUUAGGGUUUACAGCGUCUUUGUCGCUGGAGUCAGUCACUACGUAGAUUUUUCCGUCACGGCCGCCGAUUGCGUGUUUGCCAAACCCAAUGGCGCAAUUGGCUAGUCGUUGACGGUUUUUCUCCCAAUUCGGGUCGCAUCUCCAACAAUCGUCGAUGGGAUUUCCGGUCCCACAAGAGAGGACGCCUAGAUUUCUUCUGGACGCAUUAAUCCUCCUACAAAAAGAUACAUAAAUAUGUUAAAAAAUGAGGAGGUUGAAUAGUAUAAAGUUUUAGAUUCGAGAAGAUUUAGAAAAAUGUUACGCACUCGUUUACUUCUUGAACCACGAGUUCAGGGUCGGAGACAUGAGAGGAGGAAGUGAAGAUCGGAGCUAGGACAAGGAGGAGACAUGAGAAGAGGGAGAGAGACAAGUGAAGAAGUGUCAUUCUCUAUUUUUGUCUCUCAAAAGGAUUUUUACUUAUUUAUGUAAUUUAUGAGAUUUGAAUGGUUUUGUUUGGAGAAGAGAUAAAAUGGUGAGAAAGGCUUUGGCUUCUUAUAUAGGAAAUCUCCUCCCCUUGAUUUAUGGGUUUUUAAUCAUGGAGGGUCCACUCUUUUCAGAUUCUUGAAUUUUAUAUAUACUAAAAAGGAGAAAAGAUGUUAAAAAAAAAGAGAAAUCAAAAUCUACUUGAUACAUUUUAUAAUUAUUUGUGGAAGCUCUUGUGAGCUUCUGAAAUAGAUUAAGCGCAUAUAAACACAUGUCAAGUUGAUAACAUAAUAGGCAGUUUUUUUUGUUUAAAGAAUAAUAUAAUCAAUCCGCAUAUUUGAAGAAUAAUGUUUUGACAAACAAAGGUGGUGAAAUUCUUAAUAUGAGGAGACUUUUGUAAUAACAUAAUACUAAUAAAGGGACGUGAAAUAUGCGGAUUGAUUAUUACAAAAGACUUUUGCUGAAUUUGUUGCAGUGUUUCGGCUAAAAUAAAGGGACGUGAAAGAUAAUUUACAAAAGAAAAAUGAAAUUGUUGAAAUGCUUGCCGCAAACAAAAAGUCUUUUUGUGUUCGAGUGUUUAGCUGAAGCCUUGAACAGAAUGGAGAUAUAUACAUAUAUACACUAUUGUUACAAUAACAUGUGUACGUAUUAAUUUUUAACUUUCUUUAGAAAGAAAAAAACUUGCCCUUUUUUGAACCUUUAAUUAUUUUGCUGUGCAAUAAAGUCACUUUUGAUAAAACAAUACUGUUGACAAAAAAUACUGAUCAAAAAUAAAACAAAGUUUGUCAUGCGGCCAACCUUCAAUUGGAAACUAUACGUGUGUUCUUAAUAAUGCGAGGAGUAUAAUAAUUUUUCAUGCGUAGUCUCACUUGUAUAUAUGGCUUAUCAAGACUAAUUAACAUGUAUAAUUAGAAUGGCAUAUACGAUAAAUUCUUGCACUGUUUAGUUCGUUAAUGAUCUCAAUCUCUCUCUCUUUUUUUUUUUUUUUUUGAUCUCAAUCUCUUUUGUUUAUUGUAUGAACAAUUUAAAGACAACAGUUAACUUCAUGGUGAUUAGUACAUUGAUAAACAUACAAAUGACUAUCACUAUAUGAAGAAAAUACAAUAAAGUUAAUUAGUUAUAUAUGGGGUGAAAUGUCACAUGGAACAACACUACAUAAAUCUAUCAGAUGUUAACUGUAAAAAGUAACGUCAUAUAAUAAACCUUUUUUCUUUUUGACAAAACAACUGUAAAACCUUUUAUUUCUGUUAUAUUUCAACGAACUCCACAAACCUUUGCAUGCAUGUAUGUUGUAUAUAUGUAUAUACAACUUCUUUGUGUUUGUCUUUUUUUGUUUUCUCUUUCUGAAUGACAACCUUGCGACGUGUAUACUAUAUAUCGGUAAUAAAUCUUUACGUCGCUAUUGAUCAUGUGUUUAGCUAGCAUCUUUAGUUUCUACUAUCGAACCAUUUCUCAAUUAAAAUAAAAAUAAAAAUUAUGACAUCUAAAAAAACAAAUCACAAUCGUUUACAUUUGUCGGUCUAUAUAAUAAUCUCGAAUUAUGUUUUCUGUAAUUUCCUUUUGCCAAAUCGAAACACACAUUUUUGUAUGAUUAGGAUCUUAAUUAAGACAAUGGAUUAAUGGACCCCACCCAUUUCCCCACCAAUUAUUGGUGACUCACGAAAUUAACACUAUUCAUAAAAUUAAUUUAACUUCUGACAAAAAGGUACGAUAUCGUAGGACACAUCGGAACCGGCUUUCAAAUCCAAUACUAGUCGGAAACCGAUUUUGGGUUUCGGAUUAGAGACAGUUGCUGACGUGGCAAAUUACUUAAAAAGGUCACGUUCGUCCAUGUGAGCCUUGUCUGGCCACACCCCUGCAUUCAUGGGUCGCAUCUCGACCGUUCAUUACUAUAUAACAUGCCCUCUACCGUCAGCUCUCCGAUCGGUCAUUCUCGCGCCACCAGUUUCUAGAAAGCCGAAGUUCUAUUUAUUGGAUAUGCCUUCGAGUUUCUGAUUUUUUGCUUUGGUUACAUAGCGUAAAUUAAUCACAUAACCAUAGAAAGUGAUACACAAUUUGUUGUGUGUGAUUGAUUUGAUAUGCAUAUGUAAAAAUUGUGGAAUCAUUCCACCUUUUGAGGUUACUAUUCAAACUUUUUUAUUCAUAUGUACUAGAACGUAGAAAAUAGUUUUGAAAUAACAAAGAACGAUAAAAGUACUAGAGAUAUGAGAUUUCACAACUUAAAAAGAAAAGUGUUGUUUUCCAAUAUAUCAAAAGAGAGAUCCAAGAUUGGAACAAUGAUAUCUUGGUUAAAGUGGAUUAUAAUCCAUAGGAAUACACUUUAUCAAUGUACCUAGGAUAUGAUUGGUAAUUUGCACAAUGAUGAAAUGAUUCUGUGUUUCUUAAACUCUAUUCACAUAUUUAGCGCUUCCCAAGAUUUCAUUAAAUAUGUAACUAUGAAACCAAUAUUAUGCGGAUUUUAAACUAAAUCAAGAAUACUUAAAAUUACUUCAUAUUUUUAAAUACAAUUCAGGCUAUAUAUAUUUUCUUUACCAGUUACAACAUUCAUCAAGAUUUACAUGUUAGAUUGUGUAAAGACGUUAUCUCGAUUACUCUAUGAUCUUGGACCUCUGGUAUAAAUUCUCGUGAUGCUGCUGCUUUAUAACUGCUAUAGUGCUAUUUCAUUACAGUUCUUCUCAUUGCCAAGAAUCCAAUGUAGCACGAGAGGAAAAAAUGUAUUAGAAUAGAUUGCCAUGCCGUUAGAGACAACUGAAGCUGGUUCUCAAUGUUCUUCAUAAACGGUUAAUACUUCACCUUGCAUACGUAUCCUUCUCCAUUUCACGAUCUCAUUUCCAAAGUAGAUGUUUUAAAAAUUCAAAUAUCUAUGCCCCAUCUUGAAGGAGACUGUCAAAUAUAUUUACUCAGAGUUAAAAGUGUAACGAUAGUUAACUUGUUUGUUAUACUAUGAUCAAUUUUGUCUAAUGUAUUGAACGAUUCUGUUCAUUACUAUCCAAUAUAAUGAGAGAAAUUCAUCAUUUUCUCAACUGAUAUAGUUAAAUAAUCAACCGCCUAAACUAAAGGAUCUAACAACAUCUUGGUACGCUAGCUUAAAAUAUACAUUUAAUGUCCUUAUAUAAAUUAUAACCUAUUACAAUAGGUAGCCAUUUUAAGAAGUCUAUGAGUUAAAUUCGGUUGAUCAUUUGUCAAAAUGUAAUUGAGCACAACAAAUUUAGCUCUUACAAAAAGCAAAAAAAUUAGCUUUUACUAAUCUCUGCUAUUGUCCUCAACUGCCGACGAUUGGUAUGUACAUACACAGUCCAUAUACGUACGCGGAACGCGAUGGCUUGAACAAGCGGACGAAAACAAAUAAUUUUAAAUACAUUCUAAUUAUUGAGAAAUACAAAUGAUUAGACCAAUAUUCUGAUACUGAAUAAUAGAAUGUUAAACUCUGUUCUUACAUUAGUCGUAGUAACGACUAACGAACUAUAUAUAUAAAACAGGAACCAUUAAAUUAUAUAGUAUGGACAUUAUUUAUGUAUAGAUAAGAGCCCUGAAGAAAUGGUGACAUAAAAGAGGUAGUCACAUGGGGUUUUCUGAAGCCAUGUGCUGAUCAUGAUGAUAGCUUUAUAUAAUCAUUGAUCUCAUAUCGCUAUUGACAUUUCUUACCAUGAAUUCUUUCUUUUUUCCUACUCUCUCAAUAUUGUAGUAUUUUGAUAAAAGUAUAAUAUUAAGUGUUGACAAAAGAUAUACUAUAAUAAAUUUGUAACAGCAUUUAUAAAAGCAUCUAUCUGUGUUCUUGUGAGUGUCUAAUGACUUGUUUGUUAAAGUGUUGUUGUUACCCACUUUGUUCGUUUAUCAAAAAAGUCAAUAAUUGAUGAUAUACUUGGUAAUCAUUAUGAAGGUGUCCCAAGUCCCGACGACCUUAACUUGUAUACACUCAAUUUUCUUUGGGAUAAUUUCCAUAAUGUUUGCUAAUUUUACACAUCAAAGGAUUGACUAAUGGAAUGAUGCUUGAACGAAAGUCAUGAGAACGGAGGAAGAAAGCUUCAUUACUCUCCAGGUUAAUUUUAGCAUGUUAUUUCAGUUCUAAUGCUAAAAUUGAUUUCUAUUGAUCAAUAGUAUUGAAUAAAGAUAGUAUUCGACAAUUUCAAAGCAACAGGGGGAAUUUUAAGCACUAGAAAAGUUUACUUACGGAAAUGUCAAACCCCCAAAUGAUUGGAUCAUGUGUAAUUAAGUAUGCAAUCAAUACAAAAUUUAUAGUCACCCACUCUAAUGAUUAAUCUUUUGUAAUGGUCGUAUAUUAAGUAAUGAUACUAAUUAUGAUGAUUUUAAUCAUAUAUAUCAGAUACUCCCUCCGUUUCAAAAGAGUGGCAUUAUUAAAAGUACAAUUUUGUCUCUAAUUAAUACAUUAAAUGAUUUGUUUUUAUCUAGUAAAUACAUUAAAUUAAUAGGGUUAAAACUGGAAUAUUGUUUAAAAUUUUGCAUUGAAAAUAUAAAACGACACUCUUUGUGAAACAAAAAUAAAACCUUAAAACGACACUCUUUGUGAAACGGAGAGAGUACUAUUUAGCUUUUACAAUGAAACCAUUUCCAACCACUAUUCAUCCAAACACCAAAUUUGGUGUUGUGAAUAUAGUUAAAUUUGAUAUUUAGGUGAAUAGUAUUUUUUUCAUCUCCAACCACAACACCAAAUCUCACACUAAAAAAAUAAUAUUUUUAUUAUUAUAUAAUUAAAACUAAAAUUUUUAUUUUUAACAAUUUUGAUCAAUACUAAUUAUUUAUAUAAUAACUUAACUAUAAAUUAUAUAUAACAUUACAUUCCGUACAAAAAAAUUAGAAUUGAUACAUUUUGAAGUUAAAUAUAAACUUCUUGAUCCUUCAAUUGCCUAUGCUAAGCUAAAUAGUUAUGUAUUCUUAUUAAUUAUAAUUAAAUUUUCAUAUUAAUUAUACUUAACAUUUCAUAAAUAAUAAAAUAAAAAAUUAUGAUAUAUUAAUUAUAGUUAUAAAAUUUAAUCAAUUAGUAAAUAAUAUCAUAUUUAUAUUAUAAUUAAUAAUAAUAAUAUUAUUAUUAUUUUAGAGUUCUGUGAAUAAUGUCACACAAAAUUUGGUGUUAUAUUAUUUACAAAACUCUAAAAAGCAAAAUAUGCCGUUACAAAUGGAAUUCCAUUGGAGAUGUGAGAACUCCAUAAUUGAAAAUAUGGAAUCCGAUUGGAGUUGCUCUAAAAGUGUAUAACAAUAGUGAUGAUUAUGCAUAUUGAAACUAACCAAUAUACCAUAAAAAAAAAAAAAAAUUUAUCAUAUUACACAAAAUGAACCUUUUCUCUCUCCUCCUUUUCUCUCUCGAGCGAAAUCAGAUUUGAAACUUUCUCUUGCAGAUACCUUAAAGGAUCCUUCCGAUCUCCCUCUCCGGCGCGCGUGGUGGCUCACCGUCGCCGGAGGAGGGACUCUGAUGGCCUCCUCUUUCGUUUGUUAGGUGUUUUGUCUCAGUUCGGCCGUCGGCUCGGUGUGGCGUCAAAGUGAAGUUUCUCCGGUGUGUAGUCUUCGUUCGACGGCGACGGAUUUCAGUGGCGUCGCUGGGGUUGCGGUGGUGGAAGGCGAUCUCCUUGUGGUGAUGCGCCUCUCUGCCGUUCGCGUCGUUCUAUCUCGGUGGGGUUUGCUUUCUUUGGUGUUCACCGGCGUUUCCCUCCGACGGUCUCUUUUGGCUUUUCUUUGCGAGUCCUCGUCGCCGGCGGCGAGCUCUCCGAUUUUCCUCGGUGGUGUAGUUCGUCUCUCCCCGGUUAAAGUCCAUCUCUGCCUCGUUUUGUUCAUAGCGGUGUUCCCGAGGCAUAGGUGUGGUGGCGAUGUAGGCUUUGAUCUCCUCGGCUCCAGCGGCAGCGAUUCGGACCUAGAGGACGGGUUCAGUCUCUGGUUUUGGUUUCGCAGGAGAGGUUUGGCUUGUGGCUAGCCUCGGAGUGGUGGCUCUCGUUUCUUCCGGCGUGUGUGGCUCCACCAACAGUGUCUCUCGACGGUGGUUUUAGGCGGGUGGCUCAGCGGCUGUUCUCUCACCAUGUUCGACGAAGUUUCCGGUGCCGUCUUUUCACCGUUGUGGCUCGGGUUUCGCUGUGGGUGUGUGUUUGUGUUAUCAGCAAUUCUCAGCAGUUUCGCAGUUUGGUCUUGGUCUUGACUCGUGAGGACUCCGAUCGUGGUUCGGUGUAGAUAGUGGAGCCUUUCGAGAUGUGUAUUGUAGAGGCGCCGGUCUGUUGUCCGGUUAGAUUGUAGCUGUGGAGGUUGGUCCCUAUGGAGACUUCGGUUUCUACGGGAAUGGUGGUUGGAAGUGACUUCUCCGAUUACCGCUCAGACUUCCUUGUCACCGGUUGCAGUUUAGUCCGUUACGAAUUUCGGAUAUCGCGUCAGUUUUCGGAGAAGCUGUAGGUAUUUUUUCCGGUGGUUAGAGGACGGGCCUCGGAAGGACGCUCGUGGCAACUAUGAUGUAAACUCCAGUUCUUUGAGCUGCGGCAAAAACGUGAUGGUCUGUGCUUUUGCACGUGAUUGCUGCUUUCUCAUCUUGUUUGGUUUCGGUUUUAAUUUUCUUCUCUUACUUGCUGGAUCUUUGGCUUUUUUGUGUUUCUGUUGUUUCUUUGUUGUUUUUGUGUGUCAGUAGAUUUUGGUUUUCUGUUUUCUUCGUUGUAUCUCUGUAUUGUCUGUAAAAAAAUCAAAAAUUUGGUAUAAAAUUUAACAUUUAACCAAAAAAAAAAAAGAAACAUAAAAUUUUAAUCCUUAGCAGCCUUUUUGUUUUUAUGAGAAGAGAAGAUUUGAAAUCUGUUUAAAUUUUAUGUCUAUUCGUAGAGAUUUUCUUAACCUUUUUUGCAGUUAAAACUCACAAAUGUUUAAAAACACAUGUGAAACUUUGGACUAUAUUUUCUUUCUUGAUCAAUCUAAGAGACAAAAAUUAGUUUUUCUUUUUUAUCUUCUAAUCUAAUGGUCACAUAAUCACAAUUUAACUCCCAAUUUAGAAAUUCGAACCCAAUCAGACUAGAAAUGAUGUUAUACACAAAAAAUGUUUUCGAUACAUAUUAUUUGUUGUUUUUAAAUAUGAAUUUGUGUUCUGAGGUUUCAAACUUUCAAUUCGGAAAAAUAUAUGUUCGAACUUUGUUUUUGAAGAUAUUUAAUACGAAAUCAUAAUUUGAGCAGCAUCUCUGGUACUAUACACAGCAGCUUCAUUUAACUAUGUAGUUGACCGGAAACUUGGGCUAACUAUAAUUGUUAAUGGGUAAAAAAUGUGUGGCUUGCAUUGUUUGAAUCAAAUUCUAUUAGGCCUGUGCUACACCCCUAGAGUUUCAAGUCCAUGUACUUGAGAGUCCUAACUUGUCAUCAACACCCAUUUACAAAAACGCUAAACGCGCCAAAAUGUAAACGCUAAAAUAGCAAACUAGAAUAUCCAAAGAAAUAUUUAUUGUUCCUUCCUAAAUUAAAAAUAACAAAAGAAACCAUAACCAUCUUAAAAAUGUCUGUUACUAUGUACAGCCCACUUACUUCUUUAAACAUUAGCCAAGAUCAAUGGACCUGGUGAUGCAAACCUAACUUAAGAAGAUAUUUCUUUUUUUUUUUCUUCCAAAUCUCUAAGAAAGAUCAAUACCGACAACUUUAGCAGGUUCUGCUCUUUCAGCCAAGUUAUCACCUAGCUCCACGCCAAGCUGCCCUCUCUCCCCAGCCCCAAACGCAUAGAGAGUCCCUGACUCGGCCAUUGCAAAUGUAUGACCAGCCCAAGUAGUCGAGUUUGUCAAACUCACAUGAACCACACGCUCUUUCUUCUCCUUCAACGACGUAACCAGCUUAGGGAUCAGAGUAUUCUCAUCCACAUCUCCCUGCUAAUCUCCGGAUAUCAAGACCAUUGACUCCAUUCCAAAAAACCAAGAAAAGAAAAAAAAAACAAGAACACAGACUUUACCUGACCAAGAUUGGCAGAUUCACAGCCAAACGAGUAAACCUGACCAUCAUCAGAGACAACAAAGGUUGCAUAAUCUCCAGUGGCGACAUGGACCGCUUUAACAUCUUUUAACCCCUCUACAACCUUGGGAGCCGACUCUGGCUCUUCGGUACCGUGACCCAAGCAGCCAUACCGGCCCCAACCCCACGUGCAGACUCUCCCAUCUCUCCCAACUACAGCAGCAUGCCAUGUCCCUGCUGAGACCAUAACCGGUUCCAUCUUCAAGAGACUAAACUGCUCAAUCAAGCGAGGCUGUGUUUCACUGGUUGCAAUACCAUGACCUAGCUUCCCACCCAAACCGCAUCCAACAGAGUACACAGACCUACACAGAAGCAAGAAGUAAGCACAUACAAAUCGGAUCAAGAACAGAGGAAACAUUACAAAGACUCACAUGCCCGUAGGUUGAUAUGCUAGAGCAAGAAGAUAGCAAAAGCCAGCAGAAAUUUGCACGACCGGGAUAUCCUCCAAGGCCCCCAACAAAGGAUGAGGCAACAUACAGUUAAGGUCGGUUCCGUGACCGAGUCUCUCAUCUUUUCCCCAUGAUAAUGUAUAGACUCUGCCUUCUCUCGACAAAACCGCCGUGAAGUAAUUCCCUAUCGUGGCUUGAACCACGAAGAUUCCGUUCAAAGACUUGACUCGCUUGGGAGUUGUGAUGAGCUUAGUUUCUUGAACUUCUAAUCCAGCUUCGCUAAACCAAUCUUUUCCAAAAGCAUAAACUUCACCAGCAUCACUGAUCAACAUUGUUCUAUCAGUGCUAACAGCUGCCUGAAUGAUCCGGAUACCGUUAAGUGAUCUGCAAACACAAUGUACCUCACAUUAACCUCAACUUUUCUGACUAUUAGGCCAAAUUUGAACCAUCAAAGAAAUGUGUAACCUGACUGGUCGAGGCUGCCAAGUGUCUUCAGUGGAUCCCUGUCCGAGUUGUCCUGAACCGUUAUAUCCGAAAGAGUAAACAACGCCCUUUGAUGUUACGGCGAUGCUAUGACCAGGACCUGCAAGUGCCUGUGAUUUCUCGCGCCUGCAACCAAAUUCACCAGCAAGCAAGAACCUUAGAACAAGCUUCCACGAGCCUCCGCAUUUCCUUUUGAUUUCUUGGCGUUCUUCCUCUCCCAUGCGUUUAAAUAUCGCCCUCUUUUGGCAUCUAUCGAGAGCUGCAACUUCUGAGAUGGAGAGUUCAAGGUCCGGAGAAAAAUUUGCCGGCAUUCUGAAAAACGAACAUGUUGCCUGAAGAUAAAGAAUAACCAAUCAGAAUAGCAUCAAUCCACACGAAUCAGAAAACAUGAAAACAAGACAGAGCAUUAUCACUUCACUUGCCUCGAGUUUCGCAAGGUCCCGAGGACCUAAGUCACAAGUUGUGAGAACAUGAAGGACAAUGGAAGGACAAGAAGCCAAGAAGAACUCCCCAGGAGCAGAGUUCCCAAGGCAUUGGCGUUUUAGACACAUAAAUGAAGGGAAAGGCAACUCCAUAGCCGCGGAGAUUGGAUUCUCAGAGAUGCUAUGAAGUUGUAACGUAGCAGCAGGGCUACUACCAUUUGAUGUUGUAGUAUCCAUUAGGACACUGCUCCGGUUUUUGCAGAGCCCAAAUGUUUUCUAUAACUCACUAAAUAUCAGCAAAACCAUAUGAUUAAACUAGUGCAUUGUUCAGUCCUGUGAUCUAAAAACUCCCUAAUAGUCAAAAUCUUCAGGCUUUUGUUAUUAUACAUAUAGUAUAACAAAGGAGCUACCUUUGACGCUAAGAAUUGAUGAACACCGACCGUGAAAUGAUGGAAACUUGCGAGAGAAAUGCUGUUCAUGUUUAAGCCAAAUAAGAUCAUCAAGAUCGAGAAUUGCAGUACAAAAACACAAGAUCAUUAGAUUCAAACUUGAUUUUAACAAAAACAUAAGCAGUCUAUAGUAAGAACAAACCCAGAUCAGAAUCAUGGUUAAUAAAUAUUAAGCGAUCAGUCAAAAAAACCAAACACAAAAUAGGAUUCUCUGUUCUAGGAGAUCGUGAUCAUGAUCGUGAUCCUCGAUCAGGGAUCAUCAACAUAUAUAGAAAAGGUUAAAGCAGAAGAAGGAUCAGAAAAGACCCAUAAUUUCACCAGAAUUGCAUCGACGGUUCAAAGGGAAAAAUUACCAGACUUUGGGACUCACAAGUUGGACCAAAAGAGAGAAAAUGAAAGAGAGAGAGAGAGAGAGAGAGAUUGUUUGCGGUGGAAUAUCACAGAGAAGAAAAGGAACGGACUUUCAAUCUAAAAUUUGUUCUGUUGUUCUUUCUCCGUGAAUUUCUAUAAAAAAGAUUGUUCAUUUGCCUUUUUUUUUUAAUAAUGGAAACGAAGAAUGGAUUGGGGUAAAGCUUCAAUCUUUAUGUAUCUCUCUGCAUUUUCCACGAAACGAUUUUAGGUGUCUGCUGCUGCGUCCACAAAUGGAAAUAAAAUACUUACAAGUCCACUUGUAAGCAAGCCCAAGUCCAUUGUUUUAGAUCAUUUGCUAUUAACUUUGUGAAAGAACAAAAAAUGUGCAACAGAAAUUAUGAUCUUUUUUUGGUCAAAAAAUGUAAAAUGAGUUAAAAAAAAAAAAAAAAAAAACACGUUUGGACGAUAUUAAUUUUGUUGUAAAAACGCCUGAUUUUUUUACCGUGAUGUCAUCUUUUUCUACGUAGAUAUCUAACUGAACGUUGUCUAUUUCAAAACUGGUUUUUUUAAUUCGAUUUAUAACCAAGUUCGAAUUUUUCAUCUCAUAUCCACUUAUAUAAUUAUCCAUUUGUAACAUCUAAACAACUCUAGUUUAUUCUAAUGAAUACGAAAAUGGUUCAAGUGAUUAUUAACCUAUCCAAAAUGCUAAAUGAUCCAAAAUCUCUCCAAAUUUUGACAAAAUUCUUUAAAAUAUCAUAUUUUCUAUUUGAUUUUUACUCGAAUUAUUAAGAAUUUAGGUGAGAAUUCGGCUGACCUAUUGGAUGAAACAAACUACCGAGAAAGUAAUACCACAAGUCGAAAACUCUGAAAAUAUGCUCACUGAGGCUCUUAAGCAAACCUAAGAGUGAAGUUAGUGCUGCAAGACAGGAUGUGGGCAGGAGAGCGGCCAGUCCUCUGCCUCUAAUAAUUAAAAACGAAGGGAGUAAUUACCUAUUUACCAAACUAGCUAAGUCAUAUACGGAAGCUAUUAUGUUCAAGUGUUCAUUUAUGAUUUCACUUCAUAAGGCUAUACUAUUCAAGUGUUCAGUUAAUAAGGCAACACAUUUAUUGAACUUUGCAGUCGUUUCACUCAGUUGCAAAAAGGAAAUACAUGUUGGUGGUACGCUCCGCUCCUCGGUCAGGACCGGUUAAAGACCGAGACCGGCCCAAUUGACCCCGGUUUAUGAUGGUCUUAGUCGAAAUGGGCCUGGCCUGACAGCGUGGCCCAUGAGAAAGAAGCCCAACAACGAAAGGCGGUGAGAGCCGAACGAGAAGCCCUAGGACGUCUCCUCGUUCUUGUGCUAUAAAUAGUAGAAUUGUUACUGUAGAAGGAAUCUUUUUUGGACCCAGAGAAUAGAGACCUGAAUAUUAUAUCGACUUCGUCGAGAAACCUCCGAACUGAACGAACUGUAAUUGAGAAUUGAAUAAAAUCUAAUCAAGUUAAUCUCUUUCGAACUCAAAUUACCGGACCGACCUCAACUGUAAUCAACAAUACAUAAUUUCCUUUUAUGCAUUUAUUGGACCAUUGGUGAAAGUGAAUUAAAAUCAGGAAGAACAAAUUCGUAGAUACAAAACUGAACCGAAACAGGUUCAAUCUAAACAAAAAUGAUGAUUAGGGGAUGCAAAACCAAUUUGAUUACUGAACAAUGAACACUAAAUAAGAUUUUAUCCGGUAUCAUUUGAUUUUGCAAAUCUAGAUGAACAGUACCGGUAAUUGUAAAUCCAUGUUUAUUGCAAUACCAAAUAUUCAUGGCUUAAUAAUAUUUAUCUAUUGAGAUCUAAAUGAUAAAUAUAAGUGAUUUCGUAAUUUAACAUUUAAAUUUUAUAAAUAUUCAGUACCAAAAUUUUCUUUGAAGAAAUACAUGAGAUAAAAAUAUCAAAGUCUAAUGUUGAUGGUAUAUACCGAAAGCACGAGAAAAGACGUCCUAAAAACGAAUCGCAACACCCACUUGAAAUGCAAAAUUUGGAUCUUACCAUUGCGGCUACAAACAUUUUAGUAGUCAUACGAUAGAGUGUGUUAACUUUGAAACAAACAAUUAUAUGAUUUACAUUUGUUGGUUAUAGUUAUUUAUUUAAUUUAUUCAUAUAUUUUUUAUCAGGUAAAAUAAAAAUUCAAGUAGCAAUUAACAAAAAUAAGAUAAAGUUAUAAUGAUAAAUAAUUAUUUAAUAUGUAUAAAAAUCUAAAAUAUUUUUUUUUGUCGACUUUUCAAAAAAAUCAAAAUAUUUAAUAAUUUGAAAUGGGUGAAAAUAUUUUUAAAUAUUUAAAUUAAUUUUUCACUAAUUGAAAGUAAAAAAUACAUGCAAAUAAGAGGAGGAAGAAGCGAAGUGAUAAGAAAAAGGUGAGUAGGACAUAGAAUCUGUGGCUCAAAUCUCACCAAAAUCUCAAAACUCUCUUCUCCUUGGAUAAGAGAAGUAUCCAGAAGCCUUUCAUUUCCACUUGAUCCUCCUUCUCUCCUUCCUCCUAUAAUCCCAAAACAAAACCCAUCUCUCAAACUCCUCCUCAAACCUCUCUCUCUCUCAUCUCCGAUCAGAGCUCAGGCAAAUGGCGGCAACAAUGGCGACAUCAGCCAAAUGCAUGUCAUCUCCUCCUAAACCCCUAAACCAAACCAAACCCAUCUCUUCCAAACCCUUCAUCUCCCUCCCAACCCCACCAAAACCCACCGUCUCUCUCGCCGUCACAAGCACCGCCCUCGCCGGCGCCGUCUUCUCCGCCCUCAGCUACUCCGAACCCGCUUUCGCCGCCCACCAGAUCGCUAACCUCGCCGCGGCCGCCGCCGUGGAAGGCAGCGACAACCGUGGCUUAGCUCUCCUCCUCCCGAUCGUCCCGGCCAUCGGAUGGGUCCUCUUCAACAUCCUCCAGCCUGCUCUUAACCAGGUCAACAAGAUGCGCGAGAGCAGAGGAGUCGUCGUUGGUCUUGGCAUCGGCGGUGGUCUCGCCGCGUCCGGGCUUUUGACUUCGCCGCCUGAGGCAUCGGCGAGUGUGGCUAACGAGAUGGCGGCGGUGGCGGAAGCUGCGGCGAAAGUUGGAGACAACAGGGGACAGUUGUUGUUGUUUGUGGUUGCUCCGGCUCUG